AAUAAUUUCCUAAAGUCACCACAACUUUUUCUUUUCAAAUUGUGUUGUAAAAAUGGGUCUAAAGUCUGUGUUGUGUGCCCAAAUAGAAGUGAAAGCUAAUAAGGAUGUUUUUCAUGAUGUUUUUACACAUAAGCCACACCACAUCUCUACUAUGUGCCCUUUGCAUAUACAAGGUUGUGAGCUUAUUGAUGGUGUCUUUGGAACUGUUGGCUCCAAACUUUUCUGGACGUAUAACCUUGGUAAGCCAAAAUUAUUUUAAAAUUCCCCAAAAUAAAUAAAAUUUCGUCCAAGAGGGGUCUUACUGUUUAUAAAAUCAUUUUCCCUAUAUGUUAGCUUCACACUACUUGCUCCAACUAACAAUUAGAUGUUGUUGUUAUUAAGAUAUUAUAUUUAAAAGGAAAAAUGUUCUACUUUCACCUUGAACUAUAAGCGAAAAGACUGAUAUACACCCGAACUUUAGAAGGAUCCUGUUACCCUCUGUACUAAUUAAAAUCGUAUUUUUGACAAUUUUAGUGCCUAUGUAGCACAACACACUGAAGGAUCCAAGUAGGCACAUGUGUGUGCCACGUAGGCACUAAGGUUGUCAAAAAUACGAUUUUAAUUAGUACAGAGGAAUAAUAGGACGACCCUCCUAAAGUUCGGGUAUGUCUCAGCCUUUUCGUGUAUAGUUCAAGAUGGGCAAUAAGAAGAAAGCUGUCAGAGUAGCUAAUAUUUUUGUAUAAAUGAAAUUAGGGCAAAGGGGCAAAUAUACCCUUCAAAUUUGCAAUUUAGAGCAAAUAUUUCCUCCGCUAAAAUAGUGGAUCAUAUAUAUAUAUAUAUAUACUGGGUAUGUUGUUGUUGUAGAAUAACAAAAGAAUUUUAACCAGUUCAUUUAUUUUUUAACUGAUCCGACUCGUGCUAUUCAUAUAAAAACUAUAACCCAUACAUUUUUAACUUAGGGAACAUCAUAUGAAAAUUAAAGUACUCGUAUUUUUUACUAUGUAUUACCUGCAUAACCAUCUGUACUUUUUCUAUGAAAAUGUAUUAUGAAUCAGAUAGUUAAAAAUAAAUUUAUUUUUGUCUAUUUUUUAAAAUUUGAAAAAUAAGAUAAUUAUUAAUUAAUAAAAAAAAAUCAUAAAUAUGUUAGUAAAAAGGGUGUAACUAUUCAAGUUCAUAGACAGCAAAGGUACAUUUACUCUAUUUUUUAAUAAAGAAGAUAUAUCUGCUCUAAAUUACAAAAUUAAGGAUUAUAUUUAUCACGUUUCCCAUAAUAAUAUAUGGUAUUUCUUUUGGAACAUAGAAAUCACCCCUUCCAUUUCAUUAUAUUUUCUAAAUUGAUCUUUAAAUAAUAUAUAGUAUUUGCUUAUUUAUCGAACAUAGAAAAUAAGUAAGAGAUUCAGAUAAUUCUAAGAAAAUAUUAUCUUACUUCGUACCAAACACGUCCUAAAUAACAACUAUAAUUUUUUUUUCUCUAAAAACUGAGACUGUAAAUAUUUUUCUAUUAUUUUCAUGUUCGAGCGGAUAAAAAUUUUAGAAUUUAUUUUCUUUAGGAAAAUAAAUUCUUUGAAAAUAAGAAAAACGACUUCCUAAAUGAAAAGGAGAAAACAAGUCACAUUAUCUGCUCAAAAUCCGUGAGCUCCCAUUCCUACAACACCCAUCACCCUACCCCACUCAUCCUCAUAGUUUGUGCUAGAUAUAUAAAAUAUUUUUCGGAUAAUAUUUUUAUUUGCAUAUCGAAUUUAAGAAAAUAAAUAAGAAGUCACUUCUUUUUCUAAAAAAUAUUUUUCAUAAGAAACAUUUUCCCCCGUAAUACCCUCCAUCUUUUCCAACUUCUUCUUUUGUGAAGCGUUCUUAUUGAAAUUUGGAAAUAACUUAUUGUUUUUGUAAGAGAAAAUGUUCUAUUUCACUCUUGAACUGUACUCAAAAUGGCUGAAACACACCUCAACUUAACGAGGGUCCUAUUACCCCUGAACUAAUUAAAAGUGUAAUUUUGACACCCUUAGUGCCUACGUGGCACAUACGUGACACAACAUACUGAAAGGUCCAACUAGGCACACGUGUGUGCCAUGUAUGUGUCACGUAGGCACUAAAGAUGUUAAAAUUAUACUUUUAAUUAGUCUAGGGGGUAAUAGGACCCUCCUAAAAUUCAGGUGUGUCUUAGCCUUUUCACGUAUAGUUCAAGGUGGAAAUAGAGCAUUUUCCCUUGUUUUGGUAAAGCAGAAGGGAAAAAAAGAUUUCCAAGCAGAUAAUUGAAGGUAUAGAUGAGGGGAAAAAGGUGAUCACAUUCAAAGAAUUUGAAGGAGAUUUAGUGGAUAAAUAUGAUAGCUGGAAAGCAACUCUUCAUAUUGAGCAAAAAGGUGAAAUCGAUUUGGUAUGCUGGACAAUGGAGUAUGAAAGGCCAAAUGAGAAUGCUCCUGAACUAAUAAAUUUGCUGGACUUCAUUAUUGGUAUGACCAAAGCUAUUGAUGAUCACCAUGUUAAGAGGAAUUAAUGGGAUGUAUGUGUGUGUGCUUGAAAUAAAUACCUCAUGUUGUGUUGUUUCAGCAGAUGGUAUGAAAUAAUCCAUGUUGGAUGUUUAAGUUCUUUUUUGGUUUUUACUUUAGGGAUUGAUGUUCGUUGUGUCUUCCCAUGUAAACCAUAAGUUAUCAGCUAUCUUUGUGUUGUGUAAUAAGACAUGUGUAUGAAGUUUAUAUGUUGCUCCUAAUUUAUAUGUGAUAUUUCAACCAAAAAAAAAAAAAAAAAGCAAUUUUCUAAUUUAUAUGGCAAAAAUUGUAGCUCACACCUUACAUUAUAAAUCUUUGGCCUAAAAACAAUAAUCCAUCUCCAAUAAGACAUGUUUAUGAAGUUUAUAUGUUGCUCUUAAUUUAUAUGUGAUAUUUAAACAAAAAAAAAAAAAAAGCAAUUUUCUAAUUUAUAUGGCAAAAAUUGUAGCUCACACCUUACAUUAUAAAUCUUUGGCCUAAAAACAAUAAUCCAUCUCCAAUAAGACAUGUUUAUGAAGUUUAUAUGUUGCUCUUAAUUUAUAUGUGAUAUUUCAACCAAAAAAAAAAAAAAAAAAAGCAAUUUUCUUAUUUAUAUGGUAAAAAUUGUAGCUCACACCUUUCAUUAUAAAUCUUUGGCCUAAAAACAAUAAUCCAUAAGAAAAGGAUUUGUGCACCUUCGGGUGUGGUUGGAUUGGUACAAGGGGAGACUUCCAAAGCGGAGGUCGCGGUAUCGAACUCCCCUAAUGCCUUCUCAAUCUAACUCGUCGCAUGGAAUUUAAUUUAUCUAUUGCGGUUUACAUCUCCAAGUGGGGUCUUGAUAUACUGCCAACAUGGAUUGUACCAAAACAGACACAAAAACAGUCUACAAACACAAUACAGAAUCGAGACAAGUUGGAAACAAGUUCAAAACCAAGAAUGCUACACAAUGAUGAGAUAAUAAUGUGUAUAAACACACCAAAACCGCAACAACACAACAAGGUGGACAAUAAUAUGAUAAGAACAAUAACAAGAAGAGACAACGACUCACGGAUUGAAGAUUACAAGAUACACAAAUAGUUACAAGAUUACAAUGAACACCUGAUAGAUAGUUAGACCUUGGUAGAUAUAAUCUUAAGAACCCAAGAACAUAUGAUACUCUUGGACCGACAUUAUACGCAACGGUUAACCUAACUCCUACGUUGACACAAGAGGGACUUUACCUCCUCUAAACACCAACGUCUACAGCUAUGAAUGCAACACUGGUGAUUCCAAACUAGUAUCACCCUAAUUUCGGAUUGCCUCCUAAAGAGAAAAGUGGACUUGUCUUUCAAAGUGUUAUACAACUUACAAAUAUCAUCAAAGUCUAAGACAAAAUGACCUACAAUGUUUUAUUUAUACUAGGUUACAACUAGAAUACAAAAUGACCAAAAGGCCCUUUAAUGAAAAGCCACAAAAUGCAGCCCAUGGAGUGUAGUGUAGGUUCGAUUUUGGUUGCGUUUUAGGUCCUCUUUUGCAUUUUUCUUGCACACUCCAAGCCUAGGGUUCAUUACACUUUCACACGUCCAUCCUCGUGGUCGUACUUGUAUCAGGUCUUACUUUUUUUUUUUGGUUUCUCAUUCGGUGUACGGUAUCUGCAUUGGAGCCCGACUAAUCUGGAUUCAAGCCGGGUAGCGCCCCAUUCAGGGGAUAGCGCUCCCAACAGAGUUUUCUCCAUGCGUAAGGUCGAACCUUCGAGUCCUCAACCUCUGGUUAAGGGUGGAGCAGCCCUAUUCGCUGCACCACAACCCAUGUAGGUAGUUUCCCACUACUUGCUCCAACUAAUAAUUAGAUGUUGUUAUUAUUAAGAUAUUAUAUUUAAAAGAGAAAAUACUCUAUUACCACCUUGAACUAUACACGAAAAGGCUGAGACAUAUCCGAACUUUAGGAGGGUUCGAUUACUCCCCUGAACUAAUUAAAAUCGCAUUUUUGACAACCUUAGUGUCUACGUGGUACAUACGUGGCACAACACACUGAAGGGUCCACGUAGGCACACGUAGAUGCCACGUAGGCACUAAGGUUGUCAAAAAUACGAUUUUAAUUAGUUCAGGGGGGUAAUAGGACCCUCCUAAAGUUCGGGUGUUUCUCAGCCUUUUCAUGUAUAGUUUAAGGUGGUAAUAGAGCAUUUUCCCUAUUUAAAAUAUCAUAAUAAGAAGAAAGCUGUAGGAGUAGCUAAUAUUUAUCAACCUUCAUAAAUGAAAUUAGGGCAAAGGGGCAAAUAUACCCUUCAAAUUCACAAUUUAGAGCAAAUAUAUCCUCCGUUAAAAUAGUGGAUCAGAUAUACUAGGUAUAUUAUUGUUAUUGUAGAAUAGAGAAAAGAAUUUUAACUAGUUGAUUUAUUUUUUAACUGAUCCGACUCGACCGAUUCAUAUAAAAACUAUAACCGGUAGAUUUUUAACUUAGGGAACAUCAUAUGAAAAUUAAAGUACUCAUAUUUUUGACUAUGUAUUACCUGCAUAACCAUCUGUACUUUUUAUAUGAAAAUGUAUUAUGAAUCAGUUAGAUAAAACUAUAUCUACAGCACCAUUUUACCUAUUAAAAAGAAAUUGUAUUUUCAGAACCUUUGAUUAGUCAAGUAGCCAACCAUGUCUUGCUUUAUUUUCUCAAGAGUUGGGUGGUGCAAAAAUGGUAUGUCAUGUUCCUCUAAUAAGUUACAAUUGUUAACUUAUACUAUACGUUCAAGAAAUAUUUUUACAUGAUAAGCAUAAUCUUAUAUAGUUGAUCAUAACAUUGUUUAUUAAUUAUUAUCCUUUUAUCUCUAGGCCAGAAUUUGGAGGCGUUUACAUUCUAGUUACUUGGGGCUUUGGGAUGUAUGUGACAAAAGACUUUUAAAAUGAGGUAUGGGGACACAAGUCUUAAUUAUUGAGUGGAGGUGACAAUUACUUUAUUAUGGAUUAAGAAAGUUGGGGAAGUUUGAAAAUAACCCACAAGUUUGAAAAUAGUCCAGAGGUAGUAGGAUCCUCCUACAGUUCGGGUAUGACUCAGCCUUUUCGCGUAUAGUUCAAGGUGAAAAUAGAACAUUUUCCCUUAUUUUUGUAAAGCGGAAGGGGGAAAAAAGAUCUCCAAGCAGAUAAUUGAAGGUAUAUAUGAGGGGAAAAAGGUGAUCACAUUCAAAGAAUUUGAAGGAGAUUUAGUGGAUAAAUAUGAUAAGUAGAAGGCAACUCUUCAUAUGGAGCAAAAAAGUAAAAUCGAUUUGGUAUGCUGGACAGUGGAGUAUGAAAGGCCAAAUGAGAAUGUUCCUGAACUAAUAAAUUUGUUAGACUUCAUUGAUGAUAUGACCAAAGCUAUUGAUGAUCACCAUGUUAAGAUGAAUUAAUGGGAUGUAUGUGUCAUGACAUUUAUAUAAAAUAAUUUAGUUAAUGCUAGGUGUGUGUGUGCGCACGCACUUGAAAUACCUCAUGUUGUGUUGUUUCAGCAGAUGGUACGAAAUAAAUCCAUGUUAGAUGUUUAAGUUCUUUUUGGUUUUUACUUUGGGGAUUGAUGUUCGUUGUGUCUUCCCAUGUAAACGAUAAGCUAUCAGCUAUCUUUGUGUUGUGUAAUAAUACAUGUGUAUGAAGUUUUAUAUGUUGCUCCUCUACUCCUCGAUCAAACUCGUUCCAACUUUAUUUCUUCUAUUCCUUACCUCUGUGGCACAUUCAAAUCGCGGUAAGCUACUAUUUUGGGGGUCCAAACUCUUCCAAACAUGACCUCUAAUGUUGAUUCAUGACUUUAAUCAUCGCUUUUAUUGCCUCACAUCUCAAUCUUGAUGAGUGUUUGGCUUCAAUCCUCACAUUCUCCGGCUUGAAGAGUGUUUUAAAGACACAUGUGUGACUACCUGUUUCACUAAAGUGUAGCACGUAUAGGAGUAGAUAUUUAGCUAGUUAGUAUAUUGCUGAGUCAGUUGUAUAGAGUGUUGAAGGUUGUUAGACAAAUGAUUAGUUAGGUGCAAUGAGGUGUCAAAUAGAAUAUUCUAGAAGGAGGUAGUUAUUAGAUAUUUUUGUAUCUCUUUCAUAGCCUAUAUAUAAGGCACAAUAUCAGAUUGUAACAUGUGAUUUUGAUGAUGAAUAAAGUUCACAAUUUCACUCUCUCAUCUCUUCUUCCUUGUUCAUGAAUUAUCAAGCUAUAAUGCUUGAAUUUCACAUGGUAUCAAAGCCAGGUUGCUAAUACAGAAGAGUAUUUCAAUUUUUCUGCAAGUUUGGUUGAUUUUGUAGCUAAAUUUCUUCGAUCAUGGCACCCAAAAUUGAUCAAAGUGAUCCAUUCUUCAUAGGUGCUUCAGACAGUUCAAGCUUUGUACUCAUUCCAAUCAAAUUAACUGGUUCAGAAAACUAUAGUCUUUGGAGUCGAUCCAUGCGAAUUGCUCUCUUAUGGAAGAGAAAGUAUGGUUUUGUCAUUGGAUCCUACAACUUAUGGUUUUGUCAUUGGAUCUUGCAACAAGGAGUCAUACAGAGAAGAAUUUCAUGAUCAGUGGAAAACGUGUAAUGCGAUUGUCCUCUCAUGGAUCAUGAAUACUGUGAGUGAAAGCUUACUAUCUGGGAUCGUAUAUGCUAGAAAUGCUUGCGUAGUUUGGAAUGAUUUGAAGGAAAGAUAUGAUAAAGUGAAUCGUUUGCGUAUAUAUCAAUUGCAUUAUGAAAUCAAUAUGCAUUCUCAAGGUACUGAUUCAAUCUCAGCUUAUUUUACCAAGUUGAAGACCUUGUGGAGUGAGUAUGAUGUUCUGGUUCCAAAUCCUAUCUAUGAUUUCCCUAAAUCUAAAGAGUACUUAGAUCAGCUGUGUCAACUGAGACUUCUACAAUUUUUGAGUGGUUUGAAUGAGUCCUACGAUCAAUCUAGGAGACAGAUCUUACUUAAAGGCGUAACUCCAACUCUCAAUCAAACUUAUGCCAUGCUCAUAGAGGAUGAGAUACAACACUCAACAUGUACACUUGUUGUGCACGACAGAUCAGAACCUCUUGCUAUGCAAGUGAAUCGCAGUUAUGGUUAUAGACAGGGAAACACAAAUUACAAGAGUAGAAGGUGUGACUACUGUCAAAUUUCAGGUCAUACUAAAGAAAACUGCUACAAACUGAUAGGAUAUCCAAAUGAUUGGAAGAACAAGAAGAAACAAGGUUAUGAUCCUCCAAAUUUUAGGUCAUAUAAUGUUGGUGGCAACAAUUUCUCACUGCAUAACAGGGGUAACAACUAUACUAACACUGGUAGCAAGUUUUCUCAAACUGCAAGCAUGGUAGCAGGACCAGCUGAUACUGCCAGUUCCAGUUAUGGUGCCAAUUUUGUACCACUAGCAAAACCACAUACAUUUACUGAUGAAGAGUACAAUCAAAUCAUAAACAUGUUGAAUAAGGAUACCAAGGAUAUGAAACAAGUCAAUAUGAAAGGUAUUGUUACUUGCUUCUUAUCCAAGACUUGUUUUGAUAGUUGGAUUGUAGAUUCAGGGGCUACACAUCAUGUGUCUGCCAAUAGAAACUUGUUUAAAGAUACCAGCAGCUUGGUUCCAAGGCAUUUGGACAAAUUGCACCUUCCAAUAGGAGAUGAAGUCACAAUUUCUCACACUGGAGAAGCUUAUAUUUUUACAGAUGAUGUGAUCGAAGAUGUUCUCUUUGUUCUAGAUUUUAGACUAAAUCUGUUGUCUAUUGCUAAGAUAACCAAGGAACUAUCAUGCUUUGUGUCCUUUUAUCCUAAUUUCUGCAUAUUUUAGGACCUCUACAAUGGCAAGGUGAAGGGGAUUGGUAGACAAGAGGGUGGACUGUAUGUUCUUAAAGGAGAAUAGAAAGAUAAUGUUGUUCAGGAAGGACCAAAACACAGCAGGUUCACUACAGAGAUUGUUGUUCCUAAUUGCAAACUAUGGCACCAAAGACUUGGGCACCCAGCUCCUCAGGUUUUAAGAGACUUAGAUAUUUUGAUAAAUUAUAGUGAUAUAAAUCUAUUGAAUAAAUGUGUUGUAUGCCCAGUAGCUAAACAAACAAGAAUGUUAUUUCCCACAAGUACUACUAGAUGUUCUGCAUGUUUUGAACUUGUACACAUGGAUUCAUGGGGUCCUUAUAAAACACCUACAUUUGAUAAUAAGUGUUAUUUCUUGACUAUGGUCGAUGACUAUAGUAGAUCUACUUGGAUUCAUCUGUUGCAGCUAAAAUUUGAGACCAUAGUAGCUAUUAAGACAUUCAUAUCCAUGAUUAAAAUACAGUUUGGAGUGGUGAUAAAAACCAUUAGAUCUAAUAAUAGGACCGAGUUUAUCAAUACUCAAUGUUAUACAUUGUUCCAGUGGGAAUCUUAGAUCAGACCAGCUGUCCUUAUACUCCACAGCAAAAUGGAGUGGUGGAAAGGAAGCACAGGCACAUAUUAAAUAUUGCUAGAGCUCUUAAAUUUCAAUCACAUUUGCCCAUCAAGUACUGCGGAUUAUGUGUAAAAGUUGCAGUAUAUAUCAUGAAUAGGUUACCAACCUCAGUCCUGAGUGGUAAGAGCCCAUAUCAGUUGUUAUUCUACAGAUCCCAAGCUAUCUCAUUUGAGGGUGUUUGGAUGUUUAUGUUAUAUGACUGUUGUUCCUAGGUGUGCAAGUUCUCUGAAAGAGCUAAACCUGCUGUACUAGUAUGAUAUUCAGAAUCUUAAAAGGGUUACUUAUUACUGGACAUCAACUCAAAAGAAUUAUUAGUGAGUAGGGAUGUUGUGUUUUAUGAAGAUUCUUUCCCUUUUGAUCCAUCACAAGCAGGAUCCCAAUGUGCAGAUACUUCCAAAACUAAUGAAAACAUCAAUGACUUCCUGGUCUCCAUAUAUGAUGAAGUUGGUGUUGAUGUCCCUUUAGAGGAUAUUCAUGUUGAGGAUGCAAAUACUCAUGCAGAUUGCCAAGAUUCCUCUAAUGAUGCAGUACCUGGUGCAACUUCACCUGGCAUCACUCAUGAAGAAACAUGUCAAGAUAACCGUUUCGUGUUUCAACCCACUUCAAGUAGACCAACGAGAACAAGCAGACCUCCUGUGUGGAUGCAUAAUUAUGUUGAUACUUCAAAAUCCCAGAGAUGCAAGUACCCCUUAGCCAACAGCCUAUCUUACAGUAAAUUGAAACCAGCAUAUCAGUGUUACUUGUCAUAGUUCUCUACUCUGACUGAGCCUCAACACUUCAAACAAGCUAUAAAAGAUGAAAGAUGGGUGGAUAAUAUGAAGUUAGAAAUUCAAGCAUUAGAGGCAAACAACAUAUGGACCAUUGUUGACCUACCCAAAGGGAAGAACACUGUCGGUUCCAAAUGGAUAUACAAGAUUAAAUAUCUUGCAAAUGGUGAGGUAGAAAGGUUCAAAGUAAGAUUAGUAGCCAAGGGAUAUAGCCAACAAGAAGGGAUUAAUUAUCAUGAGACAUAUUCACCAGUGUAAAAAAUGGUUACUAUCAGGAGUGUGAUUGUUGUAGCAGUAUCUAAAGGAUGGCCUUUCUAUCAAAUGGAUGUCUAUAAUGCAUUUUUACAAGGGGAUCUUGAAGAGAAAGUGUAUAUAGAGCUGCCAGAAGGUUUCAAAAGCCAAGGAGAGCACAAGGUUUGUAAGUUGCUAAAAUCCUUGUAUGGCCUCAAACAGGCUUCCAAACAAUUAAACCUGAAACUGACUCAUGCUUUGCUUGAAGCUUGAUUCACUCAAAGUGCUCAUGAUUAUUCUCUCUUCUUUCUGCAUCAAGGUAAUGACACAGUGAUAGUUCUUAUAUAUGUUGAUGAAUUGCUCCUUACUGGAAGUAAUGCUAAUUUGAUUGAUGCAACAAAAGCCAAGUUGCACCAGCAGUUCAAGAUGAAAGACUUGGGGAAUCUCAAAUACUUCUUGGGUAUUGAAGUUCUCAGAUCAACUUCAGGGGUGAUAUUAAAUCAAAGGAAAUAUGUCCUAGAAUUAAUUUCAGAUACUGGUCUUAGUGGUUCAAAACCUGCAAUCACUCCCUUAGAGUUCAAUGUGAGGCUGACUUCACUUGAAUAUGAUCAAACCACAGGUGCACAAAGUGAUGAUUUAUUGUCUGAUGCUUCUUUUUAUAUGCCACUAUUACCAGACCAGAUAUCAGUUUUGCAGUCCACACUCUCACCCAGUUUAUGCAACAUCCCAAGAGAUCACACUGGGAGGCUUCUAUCGGGGUAGUCAGGUACUUCAAAGGCUCUGUUGGUCAAGGAAUCUGGUUACAGGCUAAACAUUCUGCCACUCUAACCUGCUGGUAUGACUCAGAUUGGGCUGCCUGUACAAACACCAGGAGAUUAGUUAUUGGUUAUGCAGUUCAUUUUGGUGAAUCUUUGAUUUCUCGGAAGUCCAAGAAACAACACACUAUUUCCAGGAGUUCUGCUGAAGCUGAGUACAGAAGCAUGGCUUCAGUAGUUGCGGAGAUAACUUGGUUGGUUAGCUUGUUUCAUGAACUCAAGGUUCCUAUUACCUUACCCAUAUCAGUCUUCAGUGACAACAGUUCAGCAAUUCAGUUGGCCAAUAAUCCUGUGUUUCAUGAGAGAACAAAACACAAAGAGAUUGACUGCCAUUUCAUCAGGGACAAGAUCAAAAGUGGACUGAUACAAGCUAUACAUGUUCACUCUCAGGACCAAGUGGCUGAUCUUCUUACUAAGGGGCUAAGGCAAGCACAACAUGAUCAUUUACUAGGCAAGCUUGGUGUGCUAAAUAUCUUGCACCCUGCAGCUUGAGGGGGCAUAUUUUAAAGACACAUGUGUGACUACCUUUUUCACUAAUGUGUAGCACAGAUAGGAGUAGAUAUUUAGUUAGUUAGUAUAUUUUUGAGUCAGCUGUAUAGGGUGUUGAAGGUUGUUAGACAAAUGAUUAGUUAGGUGCAAUGAGGUAUCAAAUAGAAUAUUCUAGAAGGAGGUGGUUAUUAGAUAUUUUUGUAUCUCUUUCAUAGCCUAUAUAUAAGGCACAAUAUCAGAUUGUAACACAUGAUUUUGAUGAUGAAUAAAGUUCACAAUUUCACUUUCUUAUCUCUUCUUCCUUGUUCAUGAAUUAUCAAGUUGUAAUGCUUGAAUUUCACAAAGAGCUUCAUUUGUGCACCUCUAAAUCCAAUGUUAACAUCAAGAUUGCUCGUUGUUUCUUCACCCAUCAUGUCUUAUGUAUGGUUUGAUUUAUCAUCUAAAGUAGUUCCAAUAGAAUCUUACCACAACUCAUCACAAGCGUUAGACUAUGCAAUACACCAAAUUUAUCACAACUACACAAGAACAAGUACAAUAUAGGCCGAUUUAACUAGUUAUCCUGUCAAACCUUUGGUUGUCUAUUUUAACUCUUUUAUUGAUUCAACUUAACUAUAAUACUCCUAAACAUGAGGCUUAGCACAUAAUUAUAUGAAUAUUCACUUUAUAUUCCACUAAUUAUGUCAGGUUAUCCUCAAAACUAAGCUAAACAUAUAUAAAUAAUGACACUUAGGUGUAUAAAUAUGCCUAAGAUCACCACCCCAAAUUUAAAACCCUGUACGUCUUUGAAAAACUCUUUACACUAAGCACAAUCAAGGAAGACUCUAACAUCACUACUUGAACUAAGACACUUAAUCGAAAACUACAAUGACUACAUGAAUAGCAAGUUCUACAUUAGGCAUACCAUAUUACAAUAUCAAAACUCAUGAAUACUCCUAAAGACUUCCUAGCCUCAAAAAUUGAAUCUACCAAGUUGGCAAACUCAUGCAAACUAAUUAUCAAAGUCAUCAUCCUAAUCCACUCACAAAUAUGCAAUUUAUCACAAGAGUCGGUGUAGGAAUCAAUUUCCGCUCACUCUCACAAAUACUUCACACGUCACACAAGAUGAACCAUAAUCUUGCCAUUAGUGUAGUGCUUCACUAAUAUCAUAAUAUCAAAGAUUAAGAUCAUAUAGUACAUUAAGGGUUGUAAUGUAGGUUAAGGGAGAGGUAGGAACUAUUCUAGAGAAUAUUCCCUAAGCACUUUAAUAUAUAACACUUAACAUUAAACUCCUCUCUAACCAGUCCAUUUUCAACACUUUUAUCCUCCCACCUCUGUUUUGUUUCACCUUAUCUCUUUAAUCUGAUUCACACAUUUUUAGUAGGGGGUAUUUUUUAUCACCAAAUGAUUCAUUGAUCAAUAUUUUUCAUUACAUUACUCCCGAUCAAAACAAUAAACUUUUUCAACACACCAAUAGCUAUUAUUUUGGGGCUUCACUAACAAAAGUGCUUAGAAGUUUUGGAUUAAAUUAUGGCUAAUUAAUAGAAAAGGAAUAAGCUACAUAUGAGGCUCACAAAAAAUAGGCUAAGGGCUCCAUGGAAGAUAAUGUAGGUAUAAAACAUGUUUAUAAAUGAAUAGCCUAAAUCAUCUCUCAAACUCAACAUCUUUAUUUCGCUUUCCAAACACAUUGAGCAAGUUCUAGUCACACGUUAUUGUAGUUUAUAGGUCGUAGAUGAAUAUUCAGGUGAUACAUGAAUGUCGGUUAGCUUUGAUAAAUUUUUUUAAGUAAAGGUUAUGUUUAAUCGUAUUGUUUUUAUGUUUUUGUGUAAAGGUUAAUUUAUUUGUAUUAUUUUGAUAUCUCUAUUAGCGUAUUAUUUUGUUAUAGUUUACAAAUGGUAGAUGAAUGUGAGACGCCUUUGAGAAAUUUUUUGUGUAAAGAUUAGAUUUAAUUGUGUAGUUUUGAUGUCUCUAUUAUCAUAUUAUUUUAUUGCAGUUUAUAGGUGAUAGAUGAAUGUCGAUCUGUUUUGACAAUUUGUUUUGGUAAAAGUUAGGUUUAAUUAAAUAAAUUCUCCAAAAGAUGCUGAAUUUAAUUAUUGUAUUCAUCUUUGUUAUUUAGAUAAAUAUCCUAUUUAGUGUAAUGUUUGAACUAAAUAAAAUGAGGUACACACGCGAAGCUCCUACACUUAAACUAGUAUUCUACUAAAAAGUAAAUAAUUCUUCUACUUUUUUUUAAAAAAAUUAAUUUUGUACAUUUUUUAUUUUACAAUAUUUAAUAUUAUCUUAAGUGAAAUUAAUAUCAUAAAAUUCAUAUUAAAUUUUUUGGGGCCUCAAAAUUUUGCAGGCCCAAAACGAAAAUAACUCGUGUUUUUCUAUGAUUUUUCCAUAUUACAACUUGGGAAAAGGCUCAAAUAUGUCAUUGAACUAUAAGAAAUGACUCAUUUAUGCCAUCAGUUAAAAGUUGGGCUCAUUUAUGCCAUCGCCGUUAAAAAACCAGCCCAUCCAUACCAUUGCUUUUUAACAGAUGGUUUUUAAAAACUUUUGAGUGGGAGCUUUAGUGCACCUGGCUGCCCUAGGCCGUUUGGACUCUUUAGCUCCCAUGUGACCUGAACCUUGGGAAUUUGUUCCUAGUUGGUACACACGAGUUCAUUUGGAAAAUCGGUAAGUUGAAAUGUCUGGACCAGCUAUGGUGAACGACUCAUGUCUUGCUAUAAGCACUAUUUGUUCUAUUAUGUUAUAGUUAGGUUUAUAUGGUUGUUACGUUUAUACAGGGUGCGCGUAAACUUUAGGACAAAGCAUGAGUGCUACUCUGAAAGCAGCAAAUUCCUACAAUGUGUAGCAGACGUAAAGCUAUUUACCUACCGAUCUGUCAACAUGUUACGGUUUUACGAUCUGCUAGCAUUCAAGUCCUUGACCAAUUUAACGCGUGAAUUUCUUCAAGCUUCUUACAUAUCGAUCUUUAAUCUUCUUCUUUUACCUAAGUUUCUCCAAGUUUGUUUGACGAGCGCUAGGUUUGUAUCGCUGAUGUUAGUUUUUGUGAUCAUUGCAGCAUAUAUGCCUCAUAUGAGUCUGCUUUAUGCCGAUUUAACAGACGAAGAAAAGAAGAAAGCUCAAGAAAAGGCUUGUAUCCUCGACGAGAGCAUUGGCAACAUGAGCUUCCAGAUAACUCGCCUUGCAUUGUACAAAGCAGACACCGAAGACAAAAGCCUCAAAUCGUGGGAGAAGAUCGAAGAGUACAAUCUCAGCCCGAACUAGUUUCAACGACACUUUUAACUCUCCGCGAGUCUAAACUCGUGCCCGGAAAAACAUGGUGUACUUUAUUUUUACCUUUUGAGUCUUUUAUAUGUGCUGUAUACAUAAAGAUUAUGAUGUUGUGACUUCCAUUUUCUGUGUACUUUUGGGGUUUUUGCACAACUUCCAGGAGUUAAUAAUAAAACUAUAUGGCAUUGUAAUUGCUAAAUUUUGGUCUUUAUUUACUCUGGAGUAAAACAUCAGUUCAGAGCACCAAAUUCGCUACGACACACUCCAACUUCACGGGGUUCUAUCACCCUCCUGAAUUAAAAUUUAGCGUAUUUUUGUCAACCUUUUUAGCUGAAGUGACACAUUUUGUCAAUCUUUUUAACUGAAGUGGCAUCUUUGACGUGGGUUUCAUUUUACGUAAUAAAGGUGUCACGUAAGCACAAAAGGGUGACAAAACUAUGCUAAAAUUGAGUUCAGGGGGUAAUAGCACCUUGUGAAGUUGGAGUGUAUCAUAGCAACUUUGGCCAUAGUUUGGUUUGGGGAUACUGGAUGCUUAUCUCUUUACUUUGCCAAGAGUUUCAUGAACAAAGUCUCCAGAUCUAUGGAGUAACAAUCUAGAGGUUCUCUUUGAUUCUUGAUAUUUUUUAUGGAGACAAAAACACUAGGUGAUUUUUUUUCAUCUGUUCACGUUUUGGUGAACGAGAGUUAUAUAUAUGCUGGUGGGAGGUAGCACGUACUUCAUGGCAGUAGUGAUUUUUUCCGCGAAAAAAAAAUUGUUUAGUGAAAUUCAAAAUGAGUUGUGGUAGUAUGAUUGAGAUUUCUUGUUUAAUCAAAAAAUCUCGUGUUCGAGUUUCACGCUUAAGUCAAUGUUCCAAGUUCGGUGAAUUAUGGUAGGAUGAUUGAGAGUCGUUCAUCUUUAAUCAAAAGUCUUGAGUUCGAGUCUCACGCUUAACCAGAAGUUUCAGGUUCGAUGAGUUAAGGCAGGAUGGUUGGCAUCCCUUCAUCUUCAAUCAAAAGCCUUGUGUUCGAGUCUUACGCUUAACCAAAAGUUCUAGGUUUGAUGAGUUAUGGUAGGCUGGUUGAGAUUCCUUCAUCUUUAAUCAAAAAGUCACGCGCUCAAGUCUCACGAUUAACUAGAAGUUUUAGGUUCGAUAAUUUGUGGUAGGAUGGUUGAAUUCCUUCAUCUUUUAUCAAAAAUCUUGUGUUCGAGUCCACGCUUAACCAAAAGUUCUAAGUUCGAUGAGUUUUAUGAUAGGAUGAUUGAGAGUUCUUCGUCUUUAAUCAAAAGUUUCGUGUUCGAGUCUCACGCUUAACCAGAAGUUCCAGGUUCAAUAGAUUCUGGUAGGCUGGUUGAGAUUCCUUCAUCUUUAAUCAAAAUGUCAUGCGUUCGAGUCUCAUGAUUAACCAGAAGUUUCAGGUUCGAUAAAUUGUGGUAGGAAUUAGGAUGAUUUAAUUCCUUCAUAUUUUAUCAAAAAUCUUGUGUUCGAGUCUCACGCUUAACAAGAAGUUCUAAGUUCGAUGAGUUAAAUGAGUGGAUGGUUGAAAUUUCUUUAUCUUUAAUCAAACAUUUCAUGUUCGAGUUUCACGCUUCUCCAGAAGUUCCAAGUUCAAUGAGUCGUGACAAGAUAAUCGAAAUUCCUUAUUAAAGUCUCAAAUUCGAGUCUCACACCUAGCUAGAUGUUCCGGAGUCGAUCUCGAAAAUGUAAAAAAUCAUGUUGGGAGUGACAUCCAGAAAUGAGUUUUACAAGUUCAGAUUUAGUCGGGCCAUAAUACCGAGAGAAAAAAUAAUUAAAAAUAAAUAAAUAAAUAAAAAUAAAAUGCUUCCUACCAAUGAAUCUUGUCUCGUCCACUUGCAUAUCUUAGCGCGUGCCUCUAACGCUCCUUAUUUCUCCUUUUUUUUAUUUUAAGGAAAAAAAUCAUUUUCCAAUUUUAUUUUUUUCCUUCUUAAUUUAGCAAAUUUAAAGGGUUUCUUGAUUAACCCUUUAAAUUUGAUUAAAGAAUCUCUAUUUACUACCCAAUUUGAUGAAAGAACCAAUUUUUACUGAUACCCUUUUGCUAUUUUGGAUUCUUGAAAUUAUUUUUAGUACUUUUUGCUAUUUUAUUUGCUGUUAUUUAGUCAAUUUUAUGUUUCAAAUGUUAAUUUUAUGAAUAAAGAACUAAUUUUUACUGAUACCAUUUUGCUAUUUUAGUCAAUUUUAUGAUUUAUGAUUCAAGAAUUGAUUUUGAUAAUGCCCUUUUGCUAUUUUUGAGUCUUGAAAUUGGUAUGGUACUUUUUGUUGUUUUAUUUGCUGUUAUUUAGUCAAUUUUACCAUUCAAGAAUUAAUUUUGAUAAUGCCCUUGUGCUAUUUUUGAUUCUUGAAAUUGUUAUGGUACUUUUUGCUGUUAUAUUUGCUGUUAUUUAGUCAAUUUUACCAUUCAAGAAUUAAUUUUGAUAAUGUCCUUUUGCUAUUUUUGAUUCUUGAAAUCGUUAUGGUACUUUUUGCUGUUUUAUUUGUUGUUAUUUAGUCAAUUUUACAUUCAAGAAUUAAUAUUUGCUAAUGUCCUUUUGUUAUUUUUGAUUCUUGAAAUUGUUUUUGGUAUUUGUUUUGUUUUCUUUGUUGUUGUUUAGUCAAUUUUAGCGUUUCAAAAACUACCGUUAAGUGUUCUUUUUGCAUAUUUAAUUGUUAGGGUAGUGUAGUUUUGUAGUCAUUUUCUUGGAAUGGAACCGAAUUCACCGGUGAGAUUUAAACUGGGUAAGCAAUCGUCGUUAGCACCAGAGAGGGAAGUGUUAGGAGGUGAAAGGGAGGAUGGUGAAGAUGGUGUUGAUAUUGAUCCACGAGUGAGGUUGAUGUAUUCGGCGAACGAGGGUGAUAUAGAAGGGAUAAAGGAGAUUUUGGAAUGUGGGACUGAUGUUAAUUUUAGAGACAUUGAUAAGAGGACUGCACUUCAUGUUGCUGCUUGUCAUGGUUCAAGUGAUGUUGUGCAGCUGUUGCUUGAUAAUGGAGCUGAAGGCGAUCCGAAAGAUCGGUGGGGAAGCACGGUAUGAUGAUCAACCCCAUUUUGGUUUUGUUGAUGUUCGAUUAUUACUAUGAUCUUCUGUUUGUUUGCUGUUUUUGGUACUGUUACUUCUUGUUACCUAGCUUAUGAAAUUGAAAAAAGGUUCUUUUUUGGGUAUGUAGUUGGUUAGCUAUGUUGCUCGGACUCUUCAAAAAAGUCAACGCGUGCGUGUCGGAUCCUCCAAAUAUAGCGUAUUUUCGAAGGAUCCGACACGGGUGCGGCAACAUUUUUGGAGAGUCGGAGCAACUUAGCUGGUUAGUGAGAGUAGUUUGCACAGUCACGUUGUAUCUAGCUUAUGAAAUUAAAAGGAAGCCCGGCCUAAAGCUCCCACUAUUUGCGUUGUCCGCGGAAGGGCCGACCACAAGGGCUUAUUGUUCACAGCCUUACUCUGCAUUUCUGCAAGAGAUUGUUUCCACAACAAAACGGCUUGAACAUGUGACCUAAUAAAAAAGGAAAAAAGGUUCUUUUUGGGUAUGGUUAUUGAGAGUAGUUUGCUAUUGUUGGUACACUUGCUUCUUGCUACCUAGCUUGUGAAAUAAAAGAGAAAAAAAGUUCGUUUUUCGUAUGUAGCUGGUAAUUGAGAGUAGUUUGCUGCCGUUGGUACAGUCCUUGGUAUCUAUCUUAUGAAAUUUUUCAAGAGAGGUUCUUAAUUGGGUAUGUAGCUGGUUAGUUGUGUAAAACCUUUCCCGAGUUGAGUAGCUUUGGCCAGUUAGUGCCAGCCCAGGGAAAAUGUUUUACUUCCAUGAUCCAAUUUACUGCUCGACUAAAUUUGGAAAGCCAUCCUUCUGGUUGAGAAGCUAAGUUUGUGGCAAGCCAUCCUUUGGGAUGCGAAGCCCAGUCCUCUCCGUAAGAGAAGUAUUGUCCUUGUAUUCUCGCCGCGCCAAGGUUCGUGGCAAGCCAUCCUUUGGGAUGAGAAGCCCAGUGCUCUCAGUAAGUAAGCUAUAGUCCUUGUAAGCUCGUGUGUCUCCCUUCACCCCGUCACCCCUUGAGUUUCUUUAGCCCAUCUUACUUUUACAGUUAUUAUUUAGAGUCUCGGCCAGUCUGUGAACACACUACUAAUUUCCACCGGGUAUUUGCUAGCUCCUACUCGAAAACAGCCUCUCUACCUUUGACGUAGGGGUAAGGUCUGCAUACACUCCACCCUCCCGGCCCCCACUUUGUGGGACAACACUGGGCAUGCUGUUGUUGUACUUGCUAGUUCCUACCAGCAUAGGUACGGUAAGGGUUCUCUGCCUAGCAAUCUUUAGGUGGAUAAAAAGAAUUUACCUGGGUUGCGUCCAGUGGGAUUUGAACCUUACUUCCCAGGAUUAUCACUCUAGCACUUCAAUCUUUAGCCCACCUAUUGGGGCCUUACUGUGAUAUGAUAACGGCCCCAUUUGGUUUGUUGAUGUCUGAUUGUCACUAUGAUCUUCUGUUGGUUUGCUGUUGUGGUGCCGUUACUUCUUGGUAUCUAGCUUUGACAUCAGACAAAAAGGUUCUUUUUUGGGUUUUUAGCUGGUUAACGACAAAUUAACAGCUUUUCCUUCUGUUAGCCACAUCUUACCUAUUUGGUGACCAGGUCAGUUUGUUGAUCCACUACUAAUCCACCUGGUAUUUGCUACCUACUACUGGCAUGUUGGGUAAGGGUAACUCUUCCUAGUAGUCGUUAGGCAGAUAGAAAGAAUUCACCUAGUGGUGCCUCUAGUGGGAUUCGGCUUCGGAUCAUAGAUCCGAGGAUUGUCGCUAACACUUCAACCUUUAGGCCAUCCUUGGGGCAUUACUAUGGUUAUCCUGAGAUCUUAGAUGGCGCAUCAUGGCAAACAAAAAUUCUAAACAUAGCAAUGGUUGGUGGAUGACUAUACCAUCUUGUGUCACGUGAAUAUUGUAGAAUUGCAAGUUUUGUCUGCUUUCGAUAGACUUAUCUGCUUAAGAUGUCUAAAGUUUUUUCAAAGUUACAUAAUGUGUGACCUUUGUUUAGGACGAGGACAAGCAUGAAGAUUUCAUAGUUGUUCUUCAACUAAGCUGAUUAACACAGGCUAAAACCUAGUAUUUUUUAUUGUCAUUCUCCUUGAUUCCCUUCAAGUUAGGCUACAACAUAUAGACACUUGGUAGGUUUAUUCUUCCUUCAGAUAUUUUUGAAUGAAUCUAAUGCUGUUGAAAGUCAUUACUUUGUCGCUUAACGGAGUGAUGCGAAGCGAGGAUGUACUAGAUCAUGCUUGGGGUACUGCGCUUUAAAGAAUUGCACUCUUCAAACAAUGAAGUGCAAACUCAUCUAACAGAACACAUCGAUUCUUUAAUCGGACUUAACAGAUUAGAAAAGGAAGGAAACAAGUAAGACCUUUUGCUAUUGAAUGCUAGGAAUAUCUGAUGGUACACUUUAGCGUCCUCCUUGCCAUCGUUGUCUUCUUGUACAUCUCGUGUCUGCAAUGCCUCUCCCUGUUUAUUUUUCUACAAUAUUAUACGUCAUAGAUUAGAUGUGAACUCCUUAGUAAAGGCUUAAGUCUUCUAACUUUUAUCAGUACAUAAAUAAUUAUUGUCUAGAGUGAGUCAAAUGUUUAAUAAUUUUUUGACAAGAAAAUCCACCAUGAAAUGGGAGCGUAAGUUGCAUGAUAACAACAUUUUUUUCUUGUUUAAAAUUAAAAAUUCAUUCAGGAGAAUCAAGAGUUUAGCUGAUUUAUAAGUAUCAGUUUUUUCUAAUUCUUUUUUUUUUCUUUUUUAAAUUUAAUCUUUUGUGAAGGUGCUUAUUAAAAAAGAAGGCGUCAAGAAGAUGCAGUAGUGCAAAGGUAUAGAGAAAGCAAAAGACAUUUAGCUCCUUAACAGUAUAUCAAGAAUAGGUGAUUAGGUGAUUCAAGGCUAUUUUUGCACAUUUAACAGUUGCUAGCUAUCUGAAAGACCCUUGUGAUAAGGUUAUCUUCCAUAAGACAUGCUUCAUUUAAGGCAAUCCAGCUGAAGCAGAUAACCUUGGUGUUACUUUUGUACUCUAAUUUAGCUUCCAAGCUUCACUUCUUUUGAGCCAAGGGUCUAUCGUUAAUAACCUCUCUACCCGACAAAGGUAGGGUAAGGUCUACGUACAUCCUGCACUCUCCAAACCCCACUUGUGGGACUACACUGGGUAUGUUAUUGUCGUUGUUGUUGAUGAUGAUGUUAUUAGCUUCCAAGACCAAGAGUUAAUUAUCCCGUUCUGGAGCAUAGCUUGUUGUCGCACUACUUUAUAAUACUACUGUUUUUGUUUUUUCAGCACAGUAUGUGGCCUAACAUGGGAUUUAUCGUGUUACUUACAUAGAGAACUUUUGCCUUUCUCAUUUGCUGAAACUGGCUAUUGUCUCAAUUAUGUUCUACUUUGGUGAGUUUAAUUCUAUGUUACAACAUUAAUUAAUGUUUUAAAUGUAAAUAGGUUCUCUAAUAUUAUAGAUAAUGUGCCACAAAUUGCUGUGAACUCUUUUACCUUUUAUUCUGUUCUUGGAAGAAUGUCAUAGUUCUAGGUUUGUAAUUGUUUUACUCUUAAUGAGACGCUCUUAUAACUACUUAAAUAUUAUGCAUCUUUUAUAUCACAACUAUACAAGAAAUUAAGUCAGAAUUUCCUUCAUUGGAAGCUAAGUGCACUCAUUGCAACUGUUUCUGACGGCCUUUUCAUUAGAAAUCCCAUAUUUUCACUUGAUUUAUGGCUGAAACAUCAGUCGAAAAAUCUGAUAAUUUUUCUCUAGUAAUGCAAGUUCCAACAAUACCUUUGGAAUAUCACAAAACUUUCUCCUUCUUUCUUUAAAUUUCAUGUAGAGUCAAUUGCCAUCAUGUAUGUAACGAAGCGGCUAUGCAAUAGCCAAUAGCACAUGGUCAUUCGUAGCGAAAGAAAUACCAUUAUUGCAUUUAUAGUACUUAUGAUAUGUCCUAAUUUUGUGAAUGGGCAGUUCUCUUGUUCUUGUAUUUACAAUACAAGGUCGGCAUAUGUGGGUGCAUUUGUCACAUGCUUUGGAGAAGUACAUGGGCAUGUUUCUAUACAUGUCACGAUCCGAAUCGGGGCCUUGGCCGUGACGAGCAUCUCGAACCAUGAAGGCCCGGACGCCCUUCUCUGUCUGGUAAUCAUGCACAAUAUUCAUAAAUUAUAAUAGAAGAUGCGGAAUUGUAAGUCAUUACGGAAACAUGGUCAUACUCUGAGUUCAAUUUAACUGUGAAAAAUGAAAUCCAAUAGCAAUUACACAACAUCUGAACCAAUCUGCGAAAUCUCUACUACAUCUGAAAAUGACAACUGUUUGAAAAGCUCUACGGCGUAGCAGGACCUCUGAUCUGAGCUUUAGACCCUGGGAGGAAGGGGGGUCAAUACAAAUGUACUGGUACGCAGAGCAAAUCCAAAAUAAUAAUUUAUAUUCAACAUAUAUUAGAGCAAUCUAAAACAGUUCAUAAGCAUAUCAUAUAGUAAGAAAUCACAUGGGCAUUUUAAAAGACUGUGAAAACAUUUGAAUUCUGUGACACUCUUUGUAUUACUUCUGUGCUAGGUGGUAUAGCCUACAACUCUGUUAUCCCACGGGCUAUAUGGGAUCUGCCAUUACCUCGGCAGCCAAGCCCCCAACCCAAGUUUGUCGCAAGGGUCGGAAUCUCUGCUCUGUACGCAACAGGGCACUAGGCCAGCGUAAAAAUCCCUCAUGGGGAAAUAAUGUACCCGUAUCGGCAAAACACAGUUUCUGACUACGAGUUACUUGGACUCAAGCCUUCUUCGGGCAACCACCUAACUCUUUUUAAGCCCAUUUUUAACUCUUUCAAAACAUGGAUUCUUUGAGAACAACAUCUGAAAUCAUACUCUGAAAACAUACUCUGUUAUGGCAUACAUACUUGUGGUAUCGUCAUACCACUGAUUUGCAAGUCACAUCUCUAAGCCAUUUUAGCAUAUAAAAAUCUCUGUUCUCAAAACAUAUGUUUAGGACCACCAUAUCAGCAAAUCAUUUCAAAGAACUCAUUCUUUUAAUUCAUGUAAUCAUAUGCAAGAAACUCUCUUCUUUCAACAUUUCAAAUAUACAAGGUGGUCAUGCCAAAAACAACAAUCAUGUGCAAAUUCUUUCUCUUUAACGCAAAAACGAAAUCAUAUUAAAAUGGCUCCCUCUCAUCAUCAUCAUCAAAAUCGUAUUAAAUUCUUGAAUAUUGAAAAGAUCACUUUCAAAACAUUGCGCGUGCAUCUCAAAUCAUUCUUAACAAGUUCAUAAACUCUAAAUCAUCAAAGAGAGGGAUUUCAAUAGCAGUGCUCUCAAUCAAAUCUUCAAUAUCAUACAUAUACAUAUAGGUGCAAAUCAGUUUAAGGGGAAGGCCUAAAGGCCAAAACAAUAUCAUUAUCAAAACAUCCAUAAUGCGGAAUUUAAAGCAUAAGUUCUAAAACCCCUUUAAAAUUCAUGCUUGCUAAUCUUUAAAUCAAGUUCUAGAGUUUACAAGCCCAUGUAGUUUUUAGGAUAAACCCCACAUAUCUUAAAUUAGAAGCUUUUGAAUGAACUCUAGCCUUUGGGAUGCUAUACGUACGAUUGGUGGUUGAAUCUUGUAGCCCUCGCAACGGGGAUUCCGAAUCUUGAAGAAUUAUUGAAAACCCAUGGUGAAACUUAAGAUAUUUUGAUCUUUGGGUUGAAACCCUAAGAAGUGUUCUUGAGAGAAUUUGAGAGAAUGAGGGUAUAAUUUGGUUAUUAGAGGCUGAAUCUCGUGUUAUUAGGGCUAUUUAAGGGUGGGAAAUGACUGUCACACCCCUUUUUUUUAACCAAAAAGAUUUGUUUUAAGUUUCGAAAGGGUUUUAAUUAUUAAGUGACAAAAUGAAGAUUUGUUUCGAAAAGGACUUUUAUAUUCAAAACUUAGAGUCGCCACUUGGCAAAAUCCGGUGUGCCAAGUCACCUUUGAAAGAUCCUUUUCGAAAUGAUUUGACUCUUUAAAACUGGUUUGCGAACAGAGCUUCCAACUAAGAAAUUCUGUUGACCAAGGGGAAGGUGUUAGGCACCUCUUGAUCCCGUGGUUCGACCACGGUCGCUUGAUGGAGUGUAUUGACUAUUUUGGCACUAUGAAUGCAUAAACCACACAAAAGCACAUAAAACAACCAGCCAAAACAACCAAACCCAAAUCCAAAAUAUAGUGUCCAGUCCAAUUAUACAGUCCAAAAUAAAAAUGCGAAAACAUAAAUCCUAUUCUAACCUAGACUAAUCCUAUACUACGCUCGCCUCGGGCCUUCACCACGAACAUCUUCCAAGUACAAGAUACUUCGGGCCAUUUCCCGGAUAAAUCAAUACAAAUCCCUCGAGGCAUUCCCCGACCAAAUGAAUACAUUUUUUAGUGAGAGAAAAUCACACUAUUCAACAAAAUUUCAAACAUUCCACGGAAUUUUCAACAUUCAACCAAAGCCACAAAUUCUAAACAUUUGCCUACCUAACCUAUGUUUGCCUAAAUCAAUCGACAUAUAAUGAUACUACCAAGUUCAAUUAACGUUCAUUUCAAGUCAAACAAUCGAUUCAAAUUACUUCAAUAGUCUUGGAUUCCAAUCCCCCACAUUCUCUUUUUUUAACAUCAAAUUUUCCCAAUUCCACAAUUCAAGAUUACUAUUUCAACAAUCCACAACUACUUCCUCAAUGAAAUUAAGCAAAACAAAUCAAUAUCACCCAAUAUUCAAUCACGUUUCACACAAAUCAAACACGAAUGAUAAAAUAAAUAAAAAGAGAUAGAAUUGGACCUCAAGUGUCGAUUUCAAUAUAUAGGAGGUAACACCGCGCUAAAAAAACUCAAUUCGAACCUCAAUCAAUAAAUCCUAGCUCGAUAUACCUUUUUUCUCUGUUUUUCACCAACAUGAGUCAAUAUUUGAGCGAGAGAAGCGAAACCCGCGCCUGCUCCGAGAUCUGGUCACCGGAUUUUAUAGAUUUUUCAGCGGGUUUCGCCGGAACUAACUCAACAGGGACGAGUUUAAUAGAAAACUAGAUGCGGGGUGGGGAAACAGGUUUGUUGGUACUAGCUAAUGGAGUCGAUUUGGUCGGAAAUGACACUGGGUUUGCUGCCGGACAGUGAUGGAGUUACGAUUCUGGUGAAAAUUCGCCGAAAAAUCUGUUCCUAUCCUAUUUUCUCUUCCUUUUCAACUCUUUAUGCUCGUCUCGAUCUCUUCCUCUCACUAUUCUCUCUCAAUCUCUCUGAUUCUCCUCAACCCCAUCGAUCUCUCUAUCAAACCCAAUCUCUCUCACUCGUUUCUCUACCCUCUACCCGUUCUUCAUCUCUCUCGAACUUCUACUGUGUGUGAGUUGGAUGUUGCUUUGUGAAAAAUGGUGAGGUGAAGCUAUCUAUGGCAUGAUAUUUGUGCGUGGAUUGAGAGUAAAAAAUGAAAAAUAAUUGAAUCUGUUACUGUAUAUUUCUCAAUGGGAGCUCUAAGUGGGUGGAAAGCUAUCUUUCAAUGGAAAAAAAUGUUGAUCCCUCCCCUGUGUUUCCUAUGAACCCCUCUUUAAUGUAAAGAUGAUGUUUAUGGUGUGGACCUCCGCAAUGGAAAAGAAAAUAUGGCGUGAGGAGUCUUUUUGUGUGAUGGUAUGUGGGCCCCUAGAAUUGUUGUUGUGUAUUCAAUUGUUAGAUGGAAUCCAAGAAGGGGGGCUGAGGUGGGGGUAGGUAGGUGGGGUAGAGGAGGGUUAACACUUGAAGACAUGCCCCAGUUUUUGUAUGAAACAUCUUCUUUACUUGCAAGUCUUAGGAAACUUUUCACAGCAUUUCCUGUACUCUUUAUUUUUCCAACCAUUUCCUUUGGCUUUUCUGGCACACUAGGUUUCUUCUUAAGAAAUUUUUGUGAUCCAGUUAGCAUAAAAGUAGGAUCAGAAGUAUAGCGAUGAUCACCAAGAGUAUUGAACAAGGGUCCAUUAGCAGCAUGAGCAAGCACAACUGUUGGGCGGUUGGCCAAUGUAGAAGCCUCAAUAGGGGUGAGCAACAAGAUCACAGACGAUAAGUGGUGUUGUGAAUAUAGCAGGCUUAUACUGAGGAGCUAGAGGAAAAGUGGUGGAUGAUUUUGGCUUGGAAUGAAUUUUGAGUCAUGUUGUGGUGCAUCAACAACAGUAGGACACCAACUUUGCGAUUUUCGUGGAAAACUCGAGCUAUUUGUAGGAUAAAUAAAGGGAAAUGAAUGAGGAGGCAACCCACUGGCCCAAACUCGAUGCAUUUCUGUCAUUUGUUGUCUUAGCCUCUUAAUCUUUUGCUUUAAACUCUCAUUUUCCUGAUUCUUUGUUUUGAUCCAUGAUGUCACUCUCUAUAUCUUUGUUGGACACAACUAACCCUUUGGAUUUGGUGUGAUGUGGAGGACUAGCCAGAAUGCCACAAACCAACCACCUUAAACUCACUCACCAAAAAACAGCAAAUGUGUUAGAGUUCAACACUUUUUCAAAACUCUUUUUCCUUUUUUUUUUUUUAAAUUCACCAAACCCAAAAAGGGUGCCUACGUAUCUCACUCCCGAAAGGGGAGAAUCAGGUGUGCGUAGUUCGUGAAGUCUUGCCAAAAUGGCCAAUUAAUUCUUUUCCUUUCUUUUUUUCUUUUCCUUGAAACUUUAAGAAAAAAGAAAAUAACAAUUUGUCAAAAGAAUUGACUAAAAUCUUUUUGCAUUUUUCAAGUUUAAACUCCCUCUACAAAAUGGAACCUAUGAUUACCAAAAAAAAAUAUCUUUUGGGGUUUUCAAUUUUGAAUUUCAUAGGAAAAUGAAACUGAAACUAUUAAAGAAAAAUCUUUUUGUAGUUUUCUUUUAAAUAUGUACAUGAAACACCUACUCUAAAUGAUGAGUGAAAUUAUUUUUUUGUACUUUUGAAAUAAGAUUCCCGAACCCACAAUAGGCUGUCUACGUAUCUCACUCCCGAUAGAGGAAAAUCAGGGGUGCGUAGUUCGUCCAGAUUGGACAAAUAAGGAUUAAAUAAAUAACACCCUGACUUGAGAGACACGAGCACAAACAGAAGAUGCAAAACGUCCAUAAAAUUUUUUGAAUUUUCAAUUUGACACUUCACAUAAAAAUGACACCAACAACUAUGAAAAAAAAUCUUUUUGGUAUUUUCGUGAAAUGUACAAAACUCCUAUAAUUUUUUUUUCAUUUUUCUUUUAUAAAAACUCCUAUGAAUGAAAAAUAUUUUUAAAGUCUUCAAAUUGUGAAUGUAUACUAAAUAAGAGAAAGGAAAAAUCUUUUUGAUGUUUUUGUCUUUGAUAAAUGAGUGCAAAAGGUAAAUCUUUUUGAAUUUUUAGAUUGUGGAGAAUAAAAACCAUAAAAAACUCAAAAAAAAAAAUUACGAAACACUUUUUUUUUUCUUUUCUCUUUUUCUCCCUUUUUUUUAAACCUUUCCUUAUCUAUACACUUCCUUUAAUUCUAGAACAUACUUUUUCCCAAAACAGUCUGUCAAAUGACCCCAUUACCCUCAAAGAUGUAACAUUUAGCACGUAGAGAUGCUUUAGAGGUGAGUCUCCUACAAAGGCCCAAGUGAGCCCCACUAGGUCUCAAUAUGAUGCACAUAAACAUGACCUGAAGGCUGACCUACGUUGAGGUUCACUAACAAGGCUGUUCGGGGGAGCGUAUGAUCGAUAAUGGCUGCGACACCUUUUCACCUACUCCAUACAACCCAAUGGCUCCCCCUCCUAAAAUAAGGGUGACUCAACUAUAAGUUGUGUACACACGUGUACUACGGACUUGUUGUAGAAAGAAUGACUCGGGCUAUGGGCAUAAUGCCAGAUAUAAAGCAGUAACACAUAAAGUGAAAAUUAUAAACAAAGAGCACGUAGACACUCAACAAUGAUAAAACAAAAACACAAAACAACACAAACAAAAUGUCUAUAAACCUAUAGUGCCAAACUAAGCUGAUACAACUCCUAAAUAAGCUCGAAUUCUGAAAAAUUCCCCAGCAGAGUCGCCAGAGCUAUCACACCCCUUUUUUUAACCAAAAAGAGUUGUUUUAAGUUUCGAAAGGGUUUUAAUUAUUAAGUGACAAAAUGAAGAUUUGUUUCGAAAAGGACUUUUAUAUUCAAAACUCAGAGUCGCCACUUAGCAAUUCCGGUGUGCCAAGUCACCUUUGAAAGAUCCUUUUCGAAACGAUUUGACUCUUUAAAAUUGGUUUGCGAACAGAGAUUCCGACUAAGGAAUUCUGCUGACCAAGGGGAAGGUGUUAGGCACCCCUCGAUCCCGUAGUUCGACCACGGUCGCUUGAUGGAGUGUAUUGACUAUUUUGGCACUACGAAUUCAUAAACCACACAAAAGCACAUAAAACAACCAACCAAAACAAACAAACCCAAAUCUAAAAUAUAGUGUCCAGUCCAAUUAUACAGUCUAAAAUAAAAAUGCGAAAACAUAAAUCUGUUCUAACCUAGACUAAUCCUAUUCUACGCUCCGCUGCUUCAACCGAUGCCUCGGGCCUUCACCAUUAACAUCUCCAAGUACAAGAUACUUCGGGGCAUUCCCCGAAUAAAUCAAUACAAAUCCCUCGAGGCAUUCCCCGGCCAAAUAAAUACAUUUUUUAGUGCGAGAAAAUCACAUUAUUCAAUAAAAUUUCAAAUAUUCCACGGAAUUUUCAACAUUCAACCAAAGCCACCAAUUCUAAACAUUUGCCUACCCAACCUAUGUUUGCCUAAAUCAAUCGACGUAUCAUGAUACUACCAAGUUCAAUUAACGUUCAUUUCAAGUCAAACAAUCGAUUCAAAUUACUUCAUAGUCUUCGAUUCCAAUCCCCGACAUUCUCUUUUAACAUCAAAUUUUCCCAAUUCCACAAUUCAAGAUUACUAUUUCAACAAUCCACAACCAUUUCCUCAAUGAAAUUAAGCAAAACAAAUCAAUAUCACCUAAUAUUCAAUCACGUCUCACACAAAUCAAACACGGAUAAUAAAAUAAAUAAGAAGAGAUAGAACUGGACCUCAAGUGUCGAUUUCAAUACACAGGAGGUAACACCGCGCUCGAAAAAAUUCAAUUCGAACCUCAAUCAACAAACCCGAGUUUGAUAUACCCUUUUUCUCUGUUUUUCACCAACACGAAUCAAUAUUUAAGCGAGAGAAGCGAAACCCGCGCCUGCUCCGAGAUCUGGUCGCCGAAUUUUAUAGAUUUUUCGGCGGGUUUCGCCGGAACUGACUCAACAGAGAUGAGUUUAAUAGAAAGCUAGAUGCAGGGUGGGGAAAUAGGUUCGCUGGUACUAGCUGGUGGAGUUGGUUUGGUCGGAAACGACAGUGGGUUUGCUGCCGGACAGUGAUGGAGUUACGAUUCCGGCGAAAAUUCGCCAAAAAAUCCAUUCCUAUCCUAUUUUCUCUUCUUUUUUAGCUCUCUAUGCUCGUCUCGAUCUCUUCCUCUCACUAUUCUCUCUCGAUCUCUCUGAUUCUCCUCAACCCCGUCGAUCUCUCUGUCAAACCCAAUCUCUCUCACUCGUUUCUCUACCCUCUACCCGUUCUUCAUCUCUCUCGAACUUCUACUGUGUGUGAGUUGGAUGUUGCUUUGCUAAAAAUGGUGAGAUGAAGCUAUCUAUGGCAUGAUAUUUGUGCGUGGAUUGAGAGUAAAAAAUGAAAAAUAAUUGAAUCUGUUACUAUGUAUUUCUCAAUGGGAGCUCUAAGUGGGUGGAAAGCUAUCUUUCAAUGGAUAAAAAUGCUGAUCCCUCCCCUCUGUUUCCUAUGAACCCCUUUUAUGUGAAGAUGAUGUUUAUGGUGUGGACCCCCGCAAUGGAAAAGAAAAUAUGGCGUGAGGUGUCUUUUUGUGUGAUGGUAUGUGGGCCCCUGAAAUUGUUGCUGUGUAUUCAAUUGUUAGAUGGAAUUCAAGAUGAAAAUGUUGCUAAGUUCUAUAUCCACAUGGGUCCCUUUUUUUGUUCUGUUAUGGGAAAACAAAGGAAAAAAACAUGAAGGGGAGGGGGGCUGAGGUGGGGUAGGUUGGUUAAGAUAAGGUUGUUAAUUUGUUAGGGAGUUUGUUAUUUUUGUAUUUUUAUGGGGUAUGAUCACAUGGAUGAGGACAUACUGUAAGGUGAGCUAAAAACGGAUAAAAUCAACGUUGGAAUGGAUAAAAUUAGGUCUCUACAAUGACCCAAAUACCCCUCUUGGACGCGGAGCUUGACUGCAGGAAAUUACACUGGCAGGAAUAGGCAGGGCGCCGCUUCGCUUAUCAUCCUAGCCUACUGCCUCUCACGAAAAUGGAUGUAAAUUUUCGCUCAGGUAUCGAAUUUUGGAGAAAUUGGUAUCGUUGGAAAGCUAAUUUGAAGAUCUUUCAUUUUAUAUAUAGUAGGACACCCAGUUUUUCAUAUACAAGGAGUUAUGGUCGAUUGAAGUCGACCCAAAUUUUGACGCUCACUAAAACUCGAACAAUAGGAAAACUUUCAACUUGACCUUGAGUUAGGGGACCUCUAUGAUCUCAAUUCAUGCUUAAAUAGGUUCCCACACUACAUAAUUGAUUAACAUACCAAAUUUGCAUAGGAUUUAAGGGUUUUGGAUCAUCUACGCAUAGAAACGACGGUUUUUAUUCUAGCCCGAAAUGUGGCGUGUUACAUAUGCUUUUCAGUCUCAGAUUGUUGCACUUCUUUAUGCGUCAAGCCAAAAAGGACAAGAAAAAGAGGACAUCAAAUAAGAGAAAUUGAAGAAGAAGAAAGUGAAGGGAGUUUAUCAUAUAACAACAAAAAUGAGAGGAGAAAAAAAUCAAUAAGGGAUCAAAGAAAAGAGUAUUUAAGAAGGUCUUUGAAGCCAAAGAGACAUAAGAUGCAUCGAUGCCACAGAAGAUGAAAUGAUUUAAUUUCUGCUAACUUAUGUAUUCUAAUUAAACCUUGUAGAUUUUUGAGUGAAAUACUUGCAUUGGGCACAACUUGCUCAAUUUAGGUUUAUAAGUGAAACAAUUUACUAUGCCAUCUCAUAAGGGGAUCUAAGUACAUGUGAACUUUAUGUGUUUGACAAAGUAUUACAACACAAUAAAUACUUUAUCAAUUUAAAUUAGGUAGGUUAGUUAUUAAGUAUUAUUAGUUAUUUAAAUUGUCAAAAAUUAUUAUUUAAAUAAAUUUUAAAAUUGUGGCAUAUCCAUAGAGUCCCACAUAUCAGGAAUAAAAAAACUGCCCUUCUAAUAAUAUAUCUUAAUUAAAAAUGAAAAAUUCAAAUUUAAUAACUUCUUAGUUAACCGUGAUUAAAAUUGGAUUUGGUGGGAAGUCUACAACUUUCUCCAAAAUGGAAGCAAAUCAUUGCAAAUUUCUUGGGUUGUUUAUCAGGGGACAGAUGCUUCCUAAAUAGUUAAUGGAGACGUGCAAAGGGACGCCUAAGAUAGCAUCCUGUGUAUUGUCAGUGAAACUGUGGAAUUAGCUGUUUGGGAAUAAAUCCCUCCACGAUAAUAAUAUUGCAGUAAUAAAGAGCAAUAAAUAUGACAACAAUAAUACGGUUAAUCAAUAAGAAUAAUAAGAGCGGUAAUGACAUGGAAAUCCAAUGAGGGAAAAAUCAUGGGCCAAGAGUAGCAACUAAUAUUUCUGUAGUAAGGAAUUUUACACCGUAGUCACAAGUACAAUACUCAAAUUGACUACUACACACUCAAAAGAAAUCUCUAUUUUAAUUUUUCCACCUCACUACAAUAUCGCUCACACUCUAUUUUUCCUCACAGACUAAACUCUCUGUGAUGUCUCACUCUAUUUUUUUCUCUCUUUGUUGGUGUGUAUAACUAGUGAUCUGAAGAUCUCUAUUUAUAGGCAAAAAUCUGCCUCAAAACAUCAACAAAAGAGCAUACUUUUCGUGACUUUCCUAACCAAGAAAGGCAAAUUUGCCAAAGGCCAAUUGACAAAGGCUGCAUAAUGAAUAAUGGGGCUGGAUCUCCACAAAUCUCCCCCUCCAGUCCCACGCACCUGAAGGAGAUGUCUCUGUCUUCUCAGACAGAGAUUAUGCCGAUAAGUUCUUUGCAUAAUUCAAAUUUGUCUUUUGGCACCGCCUUUGUCAGCAGGAUUUUCACUGGUAUGAAUCUUCUUGUGUGAAGUUCUGUCAAAAGGGUGCACGAUGUCAAGUCCAGAUGAGCAGUCUCCCUGUAAAUCGUGUGUCGAAGACAUUUUAUUGGUAAUUUGCACACUGAGGGACAAACAUAAGGGGAGAGGAAGAAGAACUUGGGAUAUGUCAAACUCCAACAUGUUAAUAUCCCUUUAACACUUACAGUCAAAAAAUUAAUUUCAAGAUGCAAUAUACUUUCUAGGAUGUAAAAAAAAAAGGGAAAUGCCAAUUGAUGUUGGAAUCGAUCCGACCAAGUUAUUUCCCGAAAGAUCAAGGUCUAAUAAGCUGCUUAAGUUCCCAACUUCAUUUGGAAUUCACCCUUUGAUUGUGCAAUUUUUGAAGUAAAAUUUUCUGAGAGAGGUGGAAAGAUUCCCCGUGGCGGCUGGAAGCAUGCCAUUUAGAAUGUUGUAAGAUAGAGAAAGAAGUUUUAAAUUUCUGCAAUUGGUUAAGGAAGUCAGGAAGCUUAAUGAUGAAUCACUGGUUAAAUUGUUGUCCCCCAAGUUUAGGUAUUGUAGAUGAGUCAAAUCUCCAAGUGAGUUGGGAAUCAAGCCAGUGAGUUUGUUGUGUGAAAGCUCAACAAUUUUAAGUUUUGAACAAUUGGAGAGAGAAUGAGGAAUAGUUCCAACAAGAUUGGUUAAGUUAAUCAGAUAAAUACUUUCAAUGUUGGGUAAGAUAGAACCCAUGUUUGGUGGGAGGAUUCCUGAUAGAUUGUUGAAUGAAAUACCAAUUAUUCUCAGCCCUGAUAUGUUGAAGAUCUCCAUUGGAAGUGGAACACUGAAUCUAUUAAUCUCAAUAUUAAGUACCUCCAACUCAAUGAGAUUGCUUAUCUCUUUGGGUAUUUCACCUGGAAAUUAACACAUAUAUUGGAUUACUAGUGAGUUUAAAUAGUUGGUUCAAUCUAUUUUUGCAAAGAUAUAAGAGUUGCAUCUUGUUUAAGUUGUCAAUUUCCCAUCGUAGAAUCCACUAAAGAUUUUAACUUUUAUAUUGUUGGUCAUACGAAAGUAUUAAAAGAAAAAAGAGAAAAAAAAUACUAUAGAAAACAAUUAGAUGCAUUCAUAAGAUAAAAACAUACCUAUGAAAUCAUUUUCCGAUAAAAACAAUUCUUGAAGUUGUGAACAAUCUGAUAAGCUUGUAGAAAUAUGACCAUGAAGCUUGUUUCUCGAUAAAUAAAGCCCUUUGAGUAUUGGGAGACCAUUGCAUAAACCGUUGGGAAGAUAUCCUGAUAAGCUAUUGCCAGUAAAUGAAACGAUUUCGAUCCUAGAAAUAUUGAAAAUUGUGAAUGGUAUAGAACCCGUAAGUUGAUUAUAUUGUAUGGACAACCGGUUAAGGUUGUAAAGAUUGCCAAUUUCUUCUGGAAUAUUUCCUUGAAGUGAGUUAUAAGAUAUAACAGUCGUAAAAUAAUUAAUACAACAGGAACAUACCUGUAAAAUGGUUAUAUCCGAUAUACAAUUGCUGCAAGUUACUCAGUCUUCCAAUUUCACUAUGUAUUGGUCCAUCAAAAUCAUUUCCUGAUAAAGACAACACUUGAAGUUGUGAACAAUUUCACAAGCUUGUAGGCAUAUGACCGUGAAGAUUGUUAUAAGACAGAUAAAGCCCUUUGAAUUUCGGAAGACCAUUGCAUAAACCAUUGGGAAGUUAUCCUGAUAAGCUAUUGCUUGUAAAUGCAAUGAAUUCGAUCGUAGAAAUAUUGAAAAUUGUGAAUGGUAUAGAACCCGUAAGUUGAUUAAAUUGUAUGGACAACUAGUUCAUGUUGUGAAGAUUGCCGAUCCCUUCUGGAAUGUUUCCUUGAAGUGAAUUAUAAGAUAUCUCCGAAGUCUCCAACCUUGAGGCAUUCGAGAGUGACAGAGGAAUAGAACCUAUGGGCUUGUUACCCCUCAACUUUAAUUCUCUAAGGUUUAUAAGACUUCCAAUCACUUUUGGGAUUUGACCCUCUAUGGAAUUGAAAUUCAGAUUCAAAGUCUCAAGUGUGGACAUAUUAGAAAAUGAAGAAGGAUGGAACCAAUGAAACUAUUAUUCCCAAAAUUUAGCAAUUGAAGCUGGUGUAAAAACCCAAACCAAGAGGGAACCUCCCCUAUGAAGUUGUUGAAACUUAAAUCAAGAAACUUAAGCCGAUGCAAGUGUGCCAUUUCUUGAGGCAAAUGUCCAUGGAAAUUAUUGCUUCGCAAGUCAAGAGAAACAAGAAAUGAGAGGUUUCCAAAUUCACGGGGAAUCUUGCCUGUAAGAGCCAUGUUAGAAAGAUAGUGACGAGAACCACAAGUGACCCCAAUCCACUGGCAAACGGACCUAACAGGAGACCAACUUUUAUCCAAGAAGCGAAAGGGGUCGGAAAUGAUUUGGGAUUUUAAAGAUAGAAGAGCUAAUUGAUCUGUAGUAAUGUUGGUUUGGGUCAUGACUGAACUAGCCACAAGCAAGAAGAGUGUUGAGAGAAAAAAUGUGAAGGCUUUCUCCAUUAUUACUAAAAUUAGUAGGUAUAUUCUAUAACAUGUGGUUUUGAGACUUUAAAUAGAAAUGAGGUCUCCCUUUUGGUCAUAUUAAUACUAAUACCACCAAAUCAACCAAGUCUUUUACAUCUCAAUCAGAAUUAUAAAAAUGCUGGCAAAAAAUCCCUCUAUUCAGCAAAGACUUGGCAAGUCAACCAAGUCUUGCUUUAGUUUUUUGUGUGCUUAAUUCUUUGGAAAUAGUCUUGCUUUCAUAAUUUGUAGAAUUGUGUGGUGAAGAGUAGUGCCAAUAAUAGUCAAAUCUUGUUAUUUGGUUGCUCCAAACACUAAUGUCUAAAGCUGAUAGAAUUGAGGAAUUAAACCUAACUCACUGGUGUAACUGGUGAAGUCGUUGUGAUGUGAGCAGAAAGUCAUUAGUUCGAGCUGUGGAAACAACCUCUAGCAAAAAAUGUAGGGUAUGGCUAUGUACAAUAGAUCCUUAUGGUCCAACCCUUUCCUAGAUCCGAUGCAUAGCAGGAGCUUAGUGCACCGGGCUGCCCUUUUAUUGGCAAUAAAACAAGAAGUUGCAUUACUUUAAAUUAAUAAAGUUCCGUGGAGUCCAUAAUUGCAUAAAAGGAAUCAAAGUAAUGGUUGCAGAGUGUUGAGGCACUUCAUCGAUGGUCCUUAUACGCCUGCCGGAGCGCUAUGAAGAAUUCAUUAUUUAUAUAAAUUUUAGGGUGGUGAGAGGAAGUGCAAAAUAAGGAUUGAUUUCGCAUAAGGGAAAGGUGCGAUAAACACAUCUAAUGAAAGUUAUUAGCAACAAUAAAUAUCCAUUUUAACAAAGAGUGCUAAAACUUUUACUGACAUUAAUUAAUUGACAUUGGAUCUAAUGUCGCUAUAGACUUUAGGACAUUUAUAGACUUUAGGACAUUUAUAAAGAGUGCUAAACUGCAAUCGUCUGUAAUAAUAUUGCCUCUAAAACAGUAUUAAGGGGUAAUUAAGCUAUUGCCUCAAAAUAUCUUUUUUGUACUGAAAAGGAUAUUUGUUACAAUUUAUUUUGUAUGAUAAUUAUAUUUAUUGUAACGUCCCGAAAUCUCAUUCCAAAACGUCACAUGGUGCGAUAUGGAUUGCGUACAUCUUACUCUCUCCAAACCCCACUUUGUGAGAAUAUACUCAGUUUGUUGUUGUAGGUUGUUACAAGUAUCCUUACAAAGCCAUAUUGCAAGAAGUGGUUGAAACGUAAUUGCAUAUGGAGCCACUUCUAACUAAAAGUUGUUGAAACAUAAUUGCAUAGUACCACUUGUUGAAGUGCAUGGAAAAUGAAUGCGUUGUGGUGUAGUGGAUGACGCUGUUCCAUCCUUAAUCACAGGUCAAAGGUUCGAUUCUGGGUAUGGAGAAAAUCCUGUUGGGAGCGCUGCCACCAUAAUGGACCCUGCAACGCGCGAUCUGAAUUAGUUGCGACUUCAAUGCGGGCACCGAACACUGGAUGAAAAAAAAAAACAAAUAUAAUAUAUAUAUAUAUAUAUACUAGUUUAGCCGCACGUGUAACUUUUGAUUAUUUAAAAUUAGAUGAUUUUAUUGAUUACGAAGGUUUUCAAUUAAGUGUAAAAAGCCCAAAACAUAUAUUUUAUUGUAAGCACAUAGAUAUUUUACUACCACAAGUUUCAAGUGGUUAAUGAAAUUUAAUAUAUCCUAGAUGUAGAUUUAUAGAUUUUUUAAAUCUUCUUAAAAUCAAAUUUAGUUAAUUUAGAAUUCUUAUACUAAUAAAAAAAUAUUAGUUAUCAUUAAUUUUGAUUACUUCUGAUAAGGAAAGAUUUUAUCAUAAAUAUAUUUUAUUAAAUUUGAACUCUUAAAUAUUAGGAAAAAUAGUAAAAAGAUGAUUUUAUCUAAAACAAACACUUUUAAUGAAAGGUAAAAGUUCAAACGACAUAUCUACACUUUUAAUGAAGGGUAAAAAGUUCAAACGACAUAUCUAAGGUCCUUCACACUUUUAAUAUAUUAUAGAUAUAGAUAUAGAUAUAAAUAUAGCGUAUAGAUAUAGAGUAUAGAGUAUAGAUAUAGAUAUGGAUUAUAGAUUAUAGAUAUAUAUAUUCAGGUGAUUUCUUUUUCUAUAUUUAAAAUCUUUUCUUAUUUUUAAAGUCAACUUUUUAUCUUAAAUCUUCUUAAAAUCAAAUAUAGUUGAUUUAGAUUUCUUAAACUAAUAACAAAAAAUAUUAGUUGUCAUUAAUUCUGAUGACUUUUAGUAAGAAAAAAAGUUUUUACCAUAAAUAUAUUUAAUUAACUUUCAACUCUUAAAUAUUAGAAAAAAAUAGUGAAAAAAUAUUUUUGUCUAAAACAAAGACUUUUAAUAAAGAACAAAAAGUUCAAACAACAUUGAUAAGACACUUCACACUUUUAAUAUAACUAGUUUAAACCCACGUGCGUUGCACGUGUAUAUCUAGUCAUGUAGAAUAUAAUACUAAAAAAUGAUAUUAAUAUGUUUAAAAUAAAAGAUUGAAUGAAUAAUUUUAUAUGAAAGAUAAAAUGUACAUUUUUGUGGGCGCUUAAUUCAAAUUUUAAGAAUAUAGUAAAGAUUGGCCAUGAAAUUUCCAGCAUUUAAUAAGAAUGAAAACAUCAAGUACGACGCUAAUAAUAUUGUCUCGGAACAUUAAUGAAAGCUUAAAUCAAAGCAAAAGCAAAAGAACUACAAGUACGACGCUAAUAAUAUUGUCUUAGACACCAUAGUUAUCAAAAAAUAAAAAUAAUCCUAAAAAAGGAUGACUUUCAAGAAUAACCAUUAAGCCUAUAUCACAUAGAAGUCAAAGAAUGCUCAACUAUCAACUUACCUUUUAUCCUAAUACACAACCUUUAAACUCUCUCCUAUCACUACAAGAAAAAGGUCUAUUUAAAACCAACAUUUAGGGACGAGUCAAUAAAUUAGUCGCAAAAAGUAUACUUAUUAAGACAAUAUUAAAUUCUGGUCCUUAAUAUUAUAUUGCGAAGGGAUAAAAUCCAGUCCCUAAUAAUUUUUUAAACUGGUCCCAAAUUCUAAUUACGAUGUUUGAGCGGGAAAAACUAAUUAAUAGGGGCCAAUUCUCUUCAACUUAGCUUUUAAUUAACAUUCUGAAAAUUAAAUUAAGGUAAUAGAUUAUAAUUGCUCAUCUUUCAAUCCUCUCUAAAGCAGCCAUACGCGACCAGUACAUCGAUCGUCGAUGCCGGCUGGACCAACCAAUUUUGCAGAGGUAAAUCUGAAUUGGGCCUCUUGUUUCUUACUUUUGGUUCAAACCCUUUUCAAAAUAUUCAAUUUUUCACAUUGAGGUUGCACUAAUAAAUCUCUUCUUGAUUGUGUUUUCAUGGUGGAAUUGAAGUAAUAUUACCUUAUGGGGUUCUUGUUUCUUUUUUUUUUUUUCCCUUAUCUUUCUCUAUUUUUUCUUAUGUUAACCCUUUAGAUAAUGAGUUUGAACUUGAAUUUUGUUAUGAUUUUGAUGGUUGGGUGGUGACCAUUGGGGUUCUUUCGGACAUGGGCGUUUCUGGUUUUCUUGAUUUUUGUUGUUGUUUGAUGGGAUUGGUCAACCAAACACAUGGGUUUAUGGAGUUAAAGGGCUUUUUUCUCCUACCUUACCCACUUUUGGAGAAUCCAACACUCGCUGAUAUUUUUGAAAAAUCCAAGCAACAUAGAUUAUUUUGAUGAAGCCUUAUCUUCUUUUAUAAUCCCUUGAUCAAGUUUCUGCCAUUUCUCUAGAGCAGCAGAGAAUACUUAGUGCUAUGUGUUAUUGUUUUACCUGGGCAUUACCUAAUAUUGGUCCUAGGAUGAUAUAAGAUGAUUGUUGAUGUUUACCUCUCACAACAAUAUAGAUGAGUGUUGCGUAUUGCUGAAUUGGGGUUCUGGUAUAUGUCUGCGGCUGUAUUUAUCUACAUCAUAAUGUAUAAUGCUUAUAUUAAGCUUGCUAAACAUGCUUAUCUACAAAUGUCUAAGUAUUUUUGCUUAAUGCGCCCCUCUGAACAUUGUAGGCUAAUCCUGAUCUUGAUAUGGAGUUAAAGCCUCAAGCACAGCCACGGCCAUAUCAAGAGAAGAGUCUUAGGAAGAUGUUUGGAAAUGGUAAGGAUACAAAAUCCAAAAUUUGAUUGAUAUUUUCGUGGCAUUCGAGAAUCGAGGCUGUGGUACCAUGUCAUAGGUGAUUGAUAGAUUUAAUGCUCCUGCCUGUGGUUAAAUGGUAUGUUGAAUGCUUCAGGAAGCGCAAGAUCUGGAAUUAUAGUGCUGCCUAGUGGUGCCGGGAAGUCUUUAGUAGGUGUUUCUGCAGCAAGCAGAAUAAAAAAGAGCUGCCUUUGUUUAGCAACAAAUGCUGUGUCUGUGGAUCAAUGGGCUUUCCAGUUUAAGUUGUGGUCUACUAUCCGAGAAGAGUAGAUAUGUCGUUUCACAUCUGACAGCAAAGAAAAAUUCCGCGGAAAUGUCGGUGUGGUGGUGACAACAUAUAACAUGGUUGCUUUUGGUGGCAAACGUUCUGAAGAAUCUGAGAAAAUCAUUGAAGAAAUAAGAAAUAGAGAACGGGGUUUACUACUCAUGGAUGAGGUAAAUAUCGGGUCUUGCAAUGUUUCAAGUUGUGCCUUUCAAAUAAGUAUCCAGUAAAUUGCUUUUCGAGGUUAAUGCAAAACAAUAGUUUAGUUUGAAUGUUGUCCUUAUAGCAGGAAUAUCAUAUCCGUUUAUGUUUCUGUUUAAGGAAGAACAUACAAUGGUUCGUACAUACAUACAUACAUACAGAUACACAUGGAGAUAGAUGUGCGUGCACACACACAUGCAUACUCGCUGUUUCAAUAUAUAUGCUUCACUUUCCUUUUUAGUCUCUUUUAAAAAAAGGCUCCUUUCUAUAUAGUAAGUUUUUAGUUCCAAUAUUCCCUGUUUGUUUACCUUUAGUGACACUGUCUUAUAGAAUGACGUGGCUUGUUAAGACCAUAAGAUUCACUGGUAUUAUUGGAAUGUUAUACACACCUUAGUUUAAGAACACAUGAUUCAAAAGUCUUCUUGACAUUCUUAAAAUUCGGUCACAGUCAAGCUUAGAAAAAUGAAACGCAGUGAGUAUACAUUAUCCUAUGUAAAGAAAUAUGAUAGCUUUAUCGAUUUACUAUUUCUUGGUUGGUUUAUCCAUUUCUGUGUACUCUUGCACUUAGUUGUUGCCAAUAAAUAAUGGUCAAUUUCGUUUCACUCUUCCCUUUAUUUGGAAACUAAUAGUAAUUACUGAUGUCAAAAUUGAUCUAUUCUAAAAUAAUAUAUCUGUAUUUAUUCGAAUGUUUAUAAUGUAUUUUUUUACUCUACUGGUGCUAUGUGCAAUUUGGAUGAUUUUCUUUUCUCCAAAAAAGUUCUGGUUCAGUACAAGUAUCUUGUGGAAAUACAUGUUGCAUAAUAUUUUACCAAAGGUUAAUUUCAGCUUUGAGACUAGAUAUUAAAGGUAACUUUGAAUGUAUACUGGCAUAACUAUAAGGGUCUCUUUCUUGGUAUUUAUAUAGGUGCACGUGGUUCCAGCACAUAUGUUUCGAAAGGUCAUUAGUAUCACGAAAUCACACUGCAAACUUGUGCUUACUGGUACGCACUUCUGAAAGAGAGUUCUUGCAAAUUGCAAUGUUAAUUUUGUUUGGCAUUUCACAAAAUUUAAUGGACUAUUUGGCGUACUUGACAGCUACGCUUGUCAGAGAAGACAAGAGGAUCACAGAUCUGAACUGCCUGCAUUAUUGCCCUUACCGAUCAGGUAUAUAAGUAAUUAAUUUGGUAUCAACCAUUUUUGUCCUUGGAUGCAUUAGGAGAGAAAGGAUUUCCCAAUGUAAUAUUUAGUGCUUAUGUUUCGGCAUCAGAUUGUUUUGUUAAGAGAAUGGUUGUGGAGUGAAGUUAUCUAGUAUUUGUCAGGAUAACAUGUUUGGCCUUUCUGUAAUAAAAGGAAGGGAGAGUUAAUUUAAGGAAAUAUAAUGGGUUCAUCGUAACUUUUUGAGGUAUGUACAAACCUUCCUUUAAGAAAAGCAGAUUCUACUCUCUGUCGAGCCUAAAGUGAAAUUAACACUGCCCGUUUAGGAAACAAGAGUAGCUUGAUGGAGUAGAGAUACAGGAAAAUGCUUUAAUUUGUUCCGUUAGUUGCUGAGAUGUCCAGUAACAAUGAAGUUUCUUUUAGACAAAAACCUUUGGACCUCUUAUCCAUUGUUACAACCAAAAUAAGGUGUGGACAAGUAGUUUUGUGAUUAAAGUGGAAAGGAAUUAUAAAAAUGUUGAGCUAUGUAGAAGUUUAUAUCCUUGCAUAUGUUAAAUUUAUCAUUUUUCCUCUCUUCUCAGGGUCUCCAUGCCAUCAACUUAGGAGAUAGCGGAUUUAUGUUGGUUAGAGAUGGAUCUACUGUUUUCGGAUCCCCAGUGCAGCAGCAUGAUUUCAAUUUUACGUAUCAGCUGGAAAGUGGUAAUGCCGGUGAUUCACCAAGCUCUGGGGAGGUCAGUUUAUAAUUGGUGGUCUUGCUAUCUACUUGGUAUGAAGGUUCUGCUUUUGUAGAGUGUCUGAGUAGACAACUUACUACUCGGGAACAAAUGCUAAUUGAGAAGUCUUUAUUGAGCUGUUUUUGCCGAUAUAAACAGUUAAGUCUGAGUCAGCCGUAGAACUUUGAUCUCUUACCAAAUCCCAUGAAUCAAAUUACAGUUUCAAGAAAUGUGAGGCAUCUAACUCAUAUAAUUAAGAAAUGUUUUCAGUGAUAAGACAUUUAACUCAUAAACCGUUCGUGGUGUUGAGUGAUGUCUAUGAUUUCGGAUAGGUAGUUUUUAGUAUUAUCUUGUGGCUGUUGUAUUAUUGUUUGCAGACUGGACUAGUUGAUUUCGUGUUGUUGUUGUAUGUUUAUACCCUUCUUGCUCUCUCCCUGCUCUUAGAUGACCUAACUUUUGGAUGCUCUGAGUGAAAGUAUUCUUGCAAACUGAAUAAUUUAAGAUCUAAUGACAUUCUAACACCCGUUGCAGGCCCCUCACCUAAUGCUGUUAUGUGUUUAUACCUCGAGUUGAAUAUUGUGUCAACUUUAGAUGUGGGGUCUUUAUCAUCACUCUAAUUUUUAUCUCUCCCAUUCAGUCGAUCUGUAGUCUAUUUCUCUGUUAAAAUGAAUGGUUGGCUUCUGGUGCAGGUGUUUAAAAUACCUGUUGCUCCAGGAGAUGUCAUCAUUGCUGGAACUGAUGGUUUAUUUGACAAUUUGUACAACAAUGAUAUAAGUGCAGUAGUGGGGCAUGCAACGAGAGCUGGUUUACCUCCUCAGGUUGUAGCUCAGAAGAUAGCUGCAUUGGCUCGGCAAAGAGCACAGGAUCAAAAACAGGCAAAUCCCUUCUCUGCUGCAGCGCAAGAAGCUGGUUUUCGUUACCAUGGUGGGAAGUUGGAUGACGUUACUAUGGUUGUGGCUUACAUAACCAGUGAGAAAAAUGUACGAGGAGACUAUACCCUGACCACCUGACAUGUCCUCUCUUUUAUGUUCAUUAUAUGAUUGCGUUGUUUUUUUCUGCCAGACACGAAUAUCUCUCCAUCUUAUCUAAUCGCUAUAGCCUUGAUAAUGAGUGCAAUCCUGAGAAGAAUGACUCUCAGCCUCCGAGAAGUGGUGGUCCAAGAGUGGAAUGGCUGGGGGAGACAGAACGUGAAAGUGCCAGAAUUGUGCGGGAAUGGGUUGAGACUGCGGAAAUUGUGAGAAUUGCCCAACCAGAGCAUAUUCGUAGGGAUAUGUUUAGACUGCGUGGGAGGCAGGUCUGCUUGAUUUGCUUAUGAGGAUUGAAAGGGAAAGGCAAAGGGAACUUCAGAGUCUGCUAGAGCAUCGUGCAGUUUCUGAUUUUGCCCAUCACAAUCAGAUUCAGGUUGGUUGCCGAUUUAUGCCUUUUAUUCUUUAGCCAGACUAUUCUUUGUCCUCUAUUUUUUGUGUUGCAGUCUUCUUAAAAAUUUUGACUAAGCGCUCAAUGUGUGCUUUGUGAGGUCGUGAUUUGGCUCUAAAUUUUGUCCUUUUAUGUUUUAUAUCCUUCUACAGUCACUACUCAGAGGAAGAUUCUUGCAUGAAAGGCCUGCUGAGGAAGAGAGACCACCUUCAAUAGCAGCAAGUGAACUAGUUCAGCUAAGACAAUGUAACACUGUCUCGGGGCUGAGGUAUGUAAUAUAGUGUCUUGUUCCUUUGUUUUGAAUAUUUAGAUCUUUUUGUCUUUGUGAAACAUGCUCUACUAAUUAAUUGGCUUCACGUUCAUGCAUUACUUUUAAAAUGAACAAUACAACUUUUUCUUUUUGAAUUCUAAACAAGCUCCAGCUUAGGUAUGAUACUUUUCAUUAACUCUAAUAAAAUGUCAUAUGUAUCUUACCAUUUAUCUGCACUAUAUUUGGUCACCCCUACACGUACUUAUUUCCAGAAAGUUGCAGGUAAUUUUUGAAGAUAGAUGCUCACAUCGAUGAUAUGAUCAGACUGAUUGAAGGGCAAUAUCCAUAUGUAAUCGAUGCUUCUAACUAUGGAAACAUUUCCUGUUAUAUCAAAAACAGGCACUGUUACAGUUCUCUUGAUUUGAUUUAAUCUCAAUGUUGUUAUAACUGCCUAAAUUUGCAUUAUAUUUGGACCAUCAACUUCAAUUUAAGUGUAAAAGUAAAGCAAUAUGGAAUACUCGUCUCAAAGUUCUUUUAUAAUGCCUAACAACACUAACAAUGUUCAGUUCAUUAACUGAAGAUUGACAACCAACAAAUCUAUUACUACAACCAAAUUCGUAACCAAUAGUCAAUCACAAUACCAAAUAUGUAUUCUUUAAUAUUAAGGCUUGCUCUCAUAUUGUUAUUGUAUCAUCUUGGUUGUCAACAAAUUAGCUCCAUUGGUUUUUCAAAUUAAAUUCAGCCCAUAUUGCCAAAUUUGUCAUGGCCUUGCCCAUUGCGGGUGUUUGUUGAAUGAGUGGGCUUUAUCAACUAAUCAUGUUCAGUGUAGUGGCAUGUACAAUGGUUUCUCACUCCCCUUGAAGAUCAGUUCUACAUUGGCUUCAGACAAACUAAAACGUGGGUAGCUCAAAAUAGCAAUUGGACUUGGCACUUUUCAGACAAAGAAAUUAUUGGUGUUUGAACUCAAAGAGCCUAGGUAGCUGGAUAAAGCUAAUAGGACAUCUAUAUUAAUAGUGUGAGUUAGUAGAGGAUUCAGUUUUCUUUUUUCCGUGAAGUAUUUGUGUAAAUGAUGUGUAUAUGGUGUUCAUGCGUAUUUAUGAAAGCGAAUUAUGGUAAUUUGAUAUAUAUAGAGAUAGAUAGAUAGAUAGAUAGAUAGAUAGAUACACAUUUGAUUAAUGCUAUUAGAAGUUGUAUAAUUAUAUAUAUAGGGACAAAACUUUAUCUGAAUAGGCUUUUUAGGACCGUUAAACUGGUGGUUGAAAAUCUUAGCACCAAAUGUACUUUCAGGACCAGAUUUUUGUUGGUCACAAAAUCUAUUUAAUCGAGGAUCAGAAAUAUGGUCCCUAAAAGCAUUUUAAGGACUAGUUUUAUGUUGGUCGCAAAAACUAUUUUAGGGACUAGCUAGUUUGACCUGUCGUAUAAGACCUUUAGUGAAGGAGGCUUAGGGACGGGUGGCGACCAGCUUUUCCGUCGUUAAAAUAUAAUUAGGACUAGGUAGUUAGGCUAUUUGGGACGAGAUAUAUCAUCGUAAAAGGAUAACUAGGAUUGAAUUUUGUCCGUCGCGAAAGGUUUUUAGGGACCGGGUUUGUUGCGUCAUCGCUAUUGAGCAUUAGCGGUGGAGUCUGUUAGGACGGGAUGCUACCGGUUUUUUCCCGUCUCAAAAGACCAAUUGGAACGAGAUUUGAACUUUUUGGGAUCAAAUUUCCCUUCCUUAUAGGCCAUUUUCUUGUAGUGUAUCUAAGGUUAUGUCCAUGGUAAAGUCAAAAUGAACCACGUCCGUCUUAAUUACUUCCCUCGAUUCCUCUGCUAACGCCCGCCACUAUCAAUACUCACACCAAAUAAAUUCUACUUUACCACAAAUUAAUUAGAAAAAAUAAAGCAACACAAUCAAAUCAAUGAGAAAUAAGAUGGUACAAUUCAAUUGUAAAAAUGUGUUAUUCUAACAUAACAUCAAAUACUUCAACAAAAAAGGUAUAAUCUUAAUAUUCAAGUCCUAAUGAUAUCUCACGAUUGUGUAAGGCAACUAAAUAUAGAACUGAAUUUAAAUAACUAAAAUAGCAUUCAUUCUAUGAUGUUUACCAUUUCAAAAAUAGAGAAACACAAAACACUCAAGGUUGAGCACAAAGAAAUAACAAUUUGUUGAAUCCAAACAAUUUACUAAAGAAAAUAAUUAACAAUCCAAUAAUUCAUUUCAAAAAAAAAAAAAGGAAAAGAAACUGAGCUUAACUUUGAAGGUCUUACUUUUUAUCAAUAAAUGACUCCAAAUCUUUCUAUGCCAUAGCAGUUUUCUGACAUCUUAAGCAAUUCCAUUCAAACCGUCUAAUCUAGAAAAUAACAAUCUCAUCUUUCCCCGUGCUAGCAAUGCGUUAGACACUUACCCUACCCUAUUUAUUAGUAUUUUUAUGGAGAGAAAGAUUAUUUUUUGACACCUAUCAUCGUUCAUCCUUUAAAGUAACCUACAAAAUUAGUGUAAAACAACUCAAAUAUUAAUCAAUGUAGUUUUUCGAUAUAAAAAAAAACUAAUAACUAUUAGAUUAAAACAACCUAUUAAUAAAUAUACAUGGACCUUGCAACAAUGAAAGUUGCUUACUGGGCGCGCGUGCAUGGUUGCACAACUCUCAGCAGUUGCUAGCCUGAAUAAAUAAUAAUAAUAAUAAUAAUAAUAAUAAUAAUAAUAAUAAUAAUAAUAAUAAUAAUAAUAAUAAUAAUGAUUCAAAAAGAAAAAUCAAUAGACACAUCAUAUACCUUGACUAUAUUCCAUCGUCCGUGCAAUAACUUCACAAUGUUGAGAGUUUUGUAUCUCGAGAAGUUUUCUUUCCAGGAACUUCUCUCCAAAGCAAUUGAUAAUUUGGUGCACUUGAGAUACCCCUGUUUAAGACAUCCACACUUUCUAAAAAAUGCCAUCUUACAUAACUAAUUUUAAGUACCUACAAACACUUUUUUUUAGGGUGAAUAUCUUCUCGUAUCUGACAUUGCUCGUAUCUGACAUUGUUGAACAUAGAAGUUGCAAAACUUUCAGAACUUAUAUCUUCCCCAUUCAAAUCAAAACACUUGAGUUAGAGUUAAAUCCCUUAGAGUUCAAUAUGAAUACAAAAGAAACUAUAAAUCAUGCAUCUGUUGCUGCUAAUCAACGGCUAGCGACACUCAGCAACACCAACAAUGCAAAAUAAUGUAUCUACUAUGAAGUAAAAUACAAUAAUUUGAACAUGGUUUACCUGGAUUGAGUGAGGAUGGACCAACUUUGCACUGCUACUACUGUUAAGAGGCAAAUCGCCGAGAUAGUAUCUUCGGGAAGGACUUUUGGACCUGCCUUUGUUUAUCAAUAAUACAUGAAACCUUGGAAACAUAAGCUCUAUAACUUUCUCUUCACGUAUCCCUUUCUUCAUCUUCAUGUACUUAAUAGUAUAUAUUUACAGAAACAUAACCCUAGAAUUGAAAAAAAAGUGAGAGAGCAACAUAAUCGACCGUCUCUUUAUGCAUUAUGUAUUUGUAGGUUUUAUUAGGACUCCUUAUAUAUUAAUUUUUCUAAUUAAUAUGUCUUAUCAUAAUAUAGUAGGAAAAUAGAAUAGGACUUUGUAAUUUAAAUAGAAUAGGACUUUGUUGGCAAAUGGCUAAAUUAUAAUAAUUUAUAUUGCUUUAUUGGAUUUAUAAUUUAAAUAGAAUAUGUGAAAAGACGAUUUUGUCUAAAGGAAAGACUUUUAAUGAAGGGCAAAAAGUUCAAACGUGAUUUAUAAGACCUUUCACACUUUUAAGAUAAUAGAGAUAUAUAAUAGAUAGUUAUAGAUUCUUCUUAUUCUUAUUCUUUUUAUAUUAUAUUAUUAUAGGUUAUAGAUAUAGAUAUAGAUUUAGUAUCAAUAUUGUAGUAUUUCAUCGGUCAAUUUGAAAGCUUGAGCCUUCGGCCAUGAAUAAUUUUAAAUGUUGAUCUCACUAAUUUUAUGUUGAUAGUUGUUUAUUACAUACUAUUUUGGCAUAAUUACAAAAAAAAUUAUAUAUUGUUUCAUAGCCAAAAAAGUACAUUUUAUUUUUAUAGUUCAAAAUCUGAAUUUGUGUCGACUUGGUAAUGCUAUGACGAAAGAAGAAUUUAGAAACACCAAUUAACACCAUAAAUAAACCGACAUCGAGUACUCUAAAGUAUGGGUGUCAAAUGGGCCGGGUCGGGCCAACCCGGAGCCGGCCCUUUUAUUUUAAUCGGGUUGAGGGAUGGUUAAGGGCCGGUUUUGGCGCUAGACGGGCCGGACCGGACCGGGCCAAACAGUAAAAAAUUAAAACCCACCCUAACCCGACCCACUUAACCCAACCCAGUCAAACCCACCAAAACCCGAUCAAAUCCGGUUAAUAAAUUGGUCAAACCCGGUCAAAAAUAUAAAAAAAAAAAACUUUCUUUCAAUAUACAUUACAUAUACCCACCUAUAUACAUUAUAAAUACGUUAAAUAAUAUAUAUACACUAUAUAUAUAGUAUAUACUACAUUAGAAUUUAAAAAAUAUAUACACAUACACAAUUAGUCAAUCACUCAUAUAUACUCACCAUUCAAUGUAUAUAUACUACUACUUAUAAAAUAUACUACAAUAUAUAUACAUUACAAUAUAUAUAGAUAUACUUAUAUACUAAUUUAUAAAAUAUAUACACAUGUAUACGUUAAAUAUACACUUCUAUAGAAGAUAUAUGCACAAAUAUACAAAACAUAUGCUACUUAAUAUAAUAAAUUAAUAAUAUUUGGUAGUAAAUUAAUAAUAUAUUAGAAGUAAGUUUUUAAUUUAAAGUAGAAAACUAGAAAUUCAAUUUAAAAUUUUAAAUCGUUAAAUGAAAAAAUAUAAAAAGCAAGGACUAAGGAGUGAAUGAAUUUGGGGAAUUUUAUUGAUUGCAAAAUGAUCCAAAAUUUAUAAUUUACAUGAAUGAAAAAUCUACAAAUUAUGCAUCAUUUUUUCCAACUCAUUCAUGUUAAUAUUUAGCGGGAACUUGCAUAGGAUAGCCGAAGUCAACGGGUGCAAAACCAUGCAUUGGACUUGAUUUUGCUGAGUUCUCCCGUGAAGUCAUAAUUUCUUCAAGUUUCAGCUCGUCGCUUGGCUUCGGUUCCAUUCCUUGGUUUCUUUUUUCUGCUCUAAUCCAAUCUCUGAGGCAAACUAGAACAUUCAUUGCAUCAAUUCAAUCUCUGCUGCUGUCGUCCCUGACUAAAGGCGCUCUCUGAUGCAACGGUUGACAUUGGAACAUUCAAGAUAUCUCUAGCUAAUCUUAAAAGCACAGGAUAUUGUGUUUCAUUACUCCUCCAUCAAUUCAAUGUGUUGAUCCGUCGUUUGCGAUCCUCUGGUGCCGUCCGAAGAUAAUAUUUCAGCUCUUCCCGAUAAGUUAAUGUGUAAGUUCUCUCAUCAACACUGUUCCAACAAUUUAAAUCAUAAAACGAAGCAAAAAAACCACUAUGUNNNNNNNNNNNNNNNNNNNNNNNNNNNNNNNNNNNNNNNNNNNNNNNNNNNNNNNNNNNNNNNNNNNNNNNNNNNNNNNNNNNNNNNNNNNNNNNNNNNNNNNNNNNNNNNNNNNNNNNNNNNNNNNNNNNNNNNNNNNNNNNNNNNNNNNNNNNNNNNNNNNNNNNNNNNNNNNNNNNNNNNNNNNNNNNNNNNNNNNNNNNNNNNNNNNNNNNNNNNNNNNNNNNNNNNNNNNNNNNNNNNNNNNNNNNNNNNNNNNNNNNNNNNNNNNNNNNNNNNNNNNNNNNNNNNNNNNNNNNNNNNNNNNNNNNNNNNNNNNNNNNNNNNNNNNNNNNNNNNNNNNNNNNNNNNNNNNNNNNNNNNNNNNNNNNNNNNNNNNNNNNNNNNNNNNNNNNNNNNNNNNNNNNNNNNNNNNNNNNNNNNNNNNNNNNNNNNNNNNNNNNNNNNNNNNNNNNNNNNNNNNNNNNNNNNNNNNNNNNNNNNNNNNNNNNNNNNNNNNNNNNNNNNNNNNNNNNNNNNNNNNNNNNNNNNNNNNNNNNNNNNNNNNNNNNNNNNNNNNNNNNNNNNNNNNNNNNNNNNNNNNNNNNNNNNNNNNNNNNNNNNNNNNNNNNNNNNNNNNNNNNNNNNNNNNNNNNNNNNNNNNNNNNNNNNNNNNNNNNNNNNNNNNNNNNNNNNNNNNNNNNNNNNNNNNNNNNNNNNNNNNNNNNNNNNNNNNNNNNNNNNNNNNNNNNNNNNNNNNNNNNNNNNNNNNNNNNNNNNNNNNNNNNNNNNNNNNNNNNNNNNNNNNNNNNNNNNNNNNNNNNNNNNNNNNNNNNNNNNNNNNNNNNNNNNNNNNNNNNNNNNNNNNNNNNNNNNNNNNNNNNNNNNNNNNNNNNNNNNNNNNNNNNNNNNNNNNNNNNNNNNNNNNNNNNNNNNNNNNNNNNNNNNNNNNNNNNNNNNNNNNNNNNNNNNNNNNNNNNNNNNNNNNNNNNNNNNNNNNNNNNNNNNNNNNNNNNNNNNNNNNNNNNNNNNNNNNNNNNNNNNNNNNNNNNNNNNNNNNNNNNNNNNNNNNNNNNNNNNNNNNNNNNNNNNUAACGGUUAAAUAAUCAUUUUUAUUUACAGCACGACCAAGAUCAGAAGUUAGGGACAAUCUACAUUGAAUAUUUUUUAACAAUGUUGAUAAAUAAAAAUAAUAUUGUGAAUGGAGUCUAAAAAUAUCAGACCGACAAGUAGUUCUAGGAAUACCGUUAAACAUAGGAUUAUAAAUUACUUGUAUAUAACGAAUAAAGACAUCAGAGGAAGGAAAACUAAAAGGCAAACAACCCACAACUACCAUUUUAGCUAUUUCUUCCCGGUCCCUCAAUUUAUUAUACUUCUUCGCUACGUGACCGAUUGCUGGGUCCAUUCUAGUUUGCGUUGGCCCACCAACAUCCCCACACUGGGUUUGUUGUUGUUGUUGUUGUUGUUGUGAUCUUAAGCUAUAUGUCUCAUUAACGUACUCGUACCCCCUUGCUUGCCUCCACUUCUAUGCUUAUAUAUUUGUUGACAAAUAUUGCAUUGUACCUCAAUAUCUGAUAUACGUUCAAAAAAUUGCCAUGCAACANNNNNNNNNNNNNNNNNNNNNNNNNNNNNNNNNNNNNNNNNNNNNNNNNNNNNNNNNNNNNNNNNNNNNNNNNNNNNNNNNNNNNNNNNNNNNNNNNNNNNNNNNNNNNNNNNNNNNNNNNNNNNNNNNNNNNNNNNNNNNNNNNNNNNNNNNNNNNNNNNNNNNNNNNNNNNNNNNNNNNNNNNNNNNNNNNNNNNGUGAACACUUUAAGAAAUUAAAUAUAUUGAAUAUUUGAGAAUUGAGAAUUGAGAUUUGAGAGAGAAUGAGAUUUGAGAGAGUGAAAAAUUGUGUGAAAAAUGAUUUGAAGUUGUAGGGUAUUUAUAGAAUUUUUUUUGGGAUUAAAAAAUAUUUUUUAAAGUUAAUUUUUUUUUUUUAAUAAAUGGGCCCAAACUAGCCGUUUGGACCUAAAAACGGCUAUAUAGCCGUUGGGCCAACGGCUAGUUUGGCCCAAAAUCCCAAUUUUUUUUAAUUUUUUUUUUAAAAAAAGGUAUCCGGGCCGGGCCGAUUAACCGGCAGGCCUGGACCGGGCUUGGUUCGGACCGGAUUGGCUGGGUCCAUUAAAAAAAAUAACCGAUCCGGAACCCGAAACCCUAAAGCCCUAGGGCUUAUCGGGUCAGGUCAAACCGGGCCGGGUUAGUUACGAGGGUCGGGUCGGCCCGGCCCACUUGACACCCUUAUUGAGGAUAUACAAAUUUUGAUAUAAACUAAUAGAAUUACAAAUACAUGAAUUAUUUCUUUUACCGAUAAUAGUAACAUAAAAGCUUUAUCGAUAAUACUCAUAUAAAAGCAAAUUAGGAUAACCCCAUAACCCUAAAAAAGAUAAAAGUAUUCGCUUUAAUUCAUGUAGCAAGUGCACAAAUUGCAAUUUACUUUUGAUUUUUGAUUGGGUAUCUAUGGAUUUGAUAUUUUUUUUCUUAGUGUAGCUUAGAUCUUCAUAUGUCAAGAGAAAAUAGAAUUGAAAAAGCAUAUAAUUAUUUGGCGAUUCUUUUAACAUUGUGCACUUUUAGGAGUCGUUUUUUUUUUUUUAAAAAAAAAUAUUUCCUAUAUAUUUUAGGGAUUAUAUAUUUAUUCUUCUAAUAAUACUUUUUGCCGUGUCUUUCGAAAAGAGAUUCUCUACCUCUGGAACUAAAAUUUACGUACAUUUUAUCUUUUUCAAAUCCCACAUUGUAAAAUUUCAUUGAAUAUAUUGUUGUUGCUGCAAUGCUCGUUGUAUCUAUUUUGACACCUCAUAAACAUUCAUUGUCUCAGGUAAUUAAUCCACCUCAAUCGAUAACUUUUUUCACGUCACGGUAAUGCUAACAAACGAUCAGGUCGAUCACUAAAGAGGUCGAUCACUUAAAAAUAAAUAAAAUUAGUAACUCUGAAUAUGAGGUAAAAAAAAUAAAAUUAGUAACUCUGAAUAUGAGGCAUAACAAAUCAUCAAAACAUGAGGAAGGAUAUGUGUAUAAAUAUCUAUUUUGGGAGGGUACGCCAAUUGCCAUGACCAUAUUUCUAUAUGAAAGAAAUAAGCUUCAAAUCUUCAAGAGGACUCCAUGGAGUGGCCCUUUCAUCACUUAUAUAAUUUUAUUAAAAGUAAGUACAUAUCCUUACAAUUAUAUGAAAACAUCAAAGUAAAAUUCUAGUCUUCAAGCAUGUUUAUUAUCUGCAACAACAACAUAUAAAAAGAACUUACCCGGCCACCUCCUAUUACUACUUUAAUGAGGCAAGAAAUUGUUUUCGAUAGAUUCUUGACUCAAGAAAUAAUAAUAAUCAAGUCAAAGAAUUAAGUAAUAAAACUUUACAGUAAAAUCAUACUUUUUGAGAUGAUAAGAUGCUACAAAAAUAAAAUAAGAAAAUUCAAUUACUACUUUUAUGAGGCAAGCAAUUAUUUUCAGUAGAUUCUUGACUCAAGAAAUAAUAAUAAUCAGAGGCGGAUCUAGAAUUUAAAGGUUGUGGGUUCCCAACUUAUAAUUCUGAUAUAUUUACUAGUUUUUUCAAUAUAAAUUCAAGAACCGGACGAAAGUUAUGGGUUCUCGGGAACCCGCACUUUAUAUUGUGCAUCCGCCCCUGAUAAUAAUCAAGUCAAAGAAUUAUGUAAUAAUAAUUUAUCAUAAAGUUAUACUUAUUUGAGAUGACUAGAUGCUACAAAAAUAAAAUAAGAAAAUUCAAUUCAAUUUAAUCCACAUCAAAAUAGAAACUCACAAAAAUUCUACCAUGUAAAAAUAGAGAGAAGUUUACUAUUCAUUAAGAAUUCUAGUGUCUUUUUAUUUAUCCAUAAAUUCUAAACCUAUGGCAAUUCUGCACUUAAAAGGAAAAUUAAUAAUGCUCUUACUCUUUCUAUAGUUUGGAUUUCUUCCCAUAUAUCCCAUAUAUAUUUAUAUGUUCUAUAUGGGACGUGGAGACUCCAACUGGCUAAAUAUAUAUGUUCUGGAUGUUCUAUAGUGGACGUGGAGACUCCAACUGGUACUCAACUUUGGAUUUUUAUCACAGAAAGUCACUCAAUUUUAGAAUUUUAUUCCAGAAAGUCACUCAACUUUCACAUUUUUACUCAGAAAGUCACUCAACUUUCAUAUUUGAGUUACUUUCUGAGUAAAAAUGUGAAAGUUGAGUGACUUUCUGAGUAAAGAUCAAAGUUGAGUGACUUUCCGGUAUAAAAGUCCAAAGUUGAGUGACCAUUUAAGUUAUUAACUCCCAAAAUUAACAAACUUAAAUAUGUACAUUUUCUAUGCUAUAUGAAAUAGUUACGUAUUCUUUUUACUUCUUUUGCGAAAAGUAUGGUAAUAAUAAAUGGAGUUGUAAUAUUACUUGGACAUUCGUAUACAUCCAGAAAUAUUCUAUAGUAUCUUUCUAUCUAAUUUAUUUAGGCUUCUUCUUAUAUAUUGUACAUAUUACAUUUAUUUAUUUAUUUAUUGAAAAAAAAGUAAAAAGACGAUUUUGUUUACUACGGAGUCUUUAUGAAGGAUAAAAAGUUUAAUUCACUUUUCUAAGAGCCUUCACACUUUUAAUAUAUUAUAUAGAUAUAAAUAUAGAUUAUAGAUAUAGAUAUAGAUUAUAGAUAUAGAUUAUAUAUAUAUAUAUAUAUGUGUGUGUGUGUGUUCUUGAACCUCCUUACUUUUAAUUAAGAUAUCUAUCUUUUUAUGCAAUUUUGAUAAUUCUGGUUCUUGCUGCACUGAUUUUUAAGUUUUUUUUAUAUCUAUCUUUUUAUGUAAGUCUAAUAAUAAUUCUAUUAUAGUAUUAUUUUAUUUUAACAAAAUUUUAUCUGUUAUACUUGAAGGUAUAUGCUUAGAGGUUUUUAAAUAAAUAUUUUUUAAAUCCUACUACUCCCUCUUUCCUAUUGUUUCUUUGUGUUUUUAGUUCUUUUUCGCCUAUUUUCUCCCAAACUUGAAAAUUCAUAUAUAUAUAUAUAUAUAUAUAUAUAUGCGGAUAUUUUUUUUUUACCCCUUUUAUCUCUUUCUCUUAGCCUAUGUCCUUCGUAACAGACUUCUUUAGCCACACUCCGGAACAUUCAUUUGGCAACUAACACUCGUCCUUUCACCUAUUUUGCAGACAUGACGGACUAUCAAGGCUAGAAUUCCUAGGAAUUUACAAGCUAAUCUAUCAUUGUUGUUAAGAAGCUAAGAAACUAACCAUUUACUAAGGGUCAAUUUUAAGUAAAUAAUUUACAUGAUUGAUAUUAAAGUAAAUAAUUUACAUGAUUGAUAUUAAAAACAUAAUAACAUAUGAAAACAUAUUUUUUAGUAGGGAAAAUAAGCAUGAAUAAGAACUUACAUGAAGUAACUUGGAAAGAGAUUUCCCUUUCGGGAAUCCCCUAAGAGCUUUAGAAAAAUGGAAAAACAUUUGAUCUCGAAACUUUAUAUUACAAACUUUAUUUUAUACAAAGAGGAGAAGUAGGUUAAGAAAGGAAAGUUUAUACAUUCGAGGGAGAGAUUGGUUGAGGAGAGGAUUUUUAUUCUAAGAAUUUUCUUUUUAGAUUUCGUUCUGUCUUUCUACUGAAUAUCUUAAGUCUUAUACAGGAUCAAAGAAAGAUAAAAUGGGUGAUCCAAAAACAUUCUACGUGUUCCUUAAACAAAUGGCCGACACUUAAAGAUAAAAAGCUUGAAAAAGAAUCUAAUAAUGCAGGUCGGGUGUUCAUUGGGCCCCAUCGUCACAUGCAUUACUAUUUCCUUUUUGACUUUUACAUAUGCAUGCUUCUACAGUUUUCUCUCUUUUUGGAGGGUAACGUUAAAGGAAGCACUCUAUUAUUUGUAUAGGACACAAAGUGGGCAUCCCCACCUGAUAGACCUUAUCUUUAAAGUAAGUUGUUUCUUCCAUGUCUGGUUGUUUACUCUUCCACAUCUCUACUCUUUUCUUCCAUGUUUGGUUGUUUAUUCUUCCACGUCUCUACCUUUUUUUUUUGUCUGAUUAUCUUCCGUCACUAUCUAUUCUGUGUCCAAAUUGUGCAGGGCAAUGGAGUCAAAACUCAUUCGUGAGUCAUCGUCUUCAUUUGGAUCCUGUGCAUCUUGGAGAUACGCUAAACUAUUUUGAUACUCGUCUUCUUUUUCGUCUAGUCUUGUAGUAUUGUUAGUUGUAUUACUAAUAUCUGGAACUACUCUGUCUGUACUUGUACUGGAUCUAUCAAUAUGUUUGUCCUGACCUUGGUUACUAAAAAAUCUUUCUAGUGUCUGUUGUAAUAUGAUCUCAAUUUUCUCUUUUUUCCUUUUAGAAAUCAAAGUCUUCUUUAAUUUAUUAUUAGCAGAAGUAGGAGGUUUUUGUCUAGAUGAAGGACCAGCUUCAUCUUCAUUUUUGGGCAAAAUGACAGCCAUUAACGGAUUUGACUUGUCUUUACCAAUUACCAUUUGAAUUGGACUAGCUGUACCAACAUCUGGUACAGUGGAUUUUUAAGCAUUCAGAGGGGAAUGCACACCCUUCUCAUCCAUUUUUCUUGGAGAUAGAGAACUCUGAGUCCGUGUUCUUGCAAUUGUAUUCCUUGUCUGAUACUUAUUGAGCUUGUCUUGGAGAGUCUGUACUUGCUCCAUUAAUUUAGAAUUUUCUGUGAUAAGGGCCUCCUUUUAAAAAUUCAAUCUUUUGAAUGCUUCGGUCAUUGAGAUGCAGUGAUCACAAAAAAUUGUUUUUUUGGUGUCUUUUUGGAUGUUAUAUUGUGGUGUCUGGUUAGGAUUAUGUCUAAGGGAUGGAGAUAUAUAAAAAAUUGGUCCUAAAUGUCCUCUGGCAUAAUCUGAGGCUUCAGAAAAAUCAUUAAAACCCUUAUAAAGAGGGGCUCUCAUGCCAUUUAUAUAAUCCAUUACUUCUAACCAUGUCUGAAAAAUUUCAUUUGUUUUGCCAUGUAUGACUACAUAAUAUUUAAACCCAGGCUUACUUUUGUCUGACAUAUACUGACAUAAUGCAUUCAUGGAUGCUAACAAAUGUUUAUUGUCUGAUUUAUUCAAAGCUAUCAUAGAUUGUCUACUAAGCAUUUUUGUGGUCUAUCCAAAACAUGUUCAGGUCUUGGUCUAAAAGAUGAAUUGCAAGAAGGAUAAGCUAUUAAAUUGUAUGGUCCAAAAUCUAUCCUUUCUAGUGUAUCUACUGAGUCUUGUGGUCUGAAUCUAAUAUUACCUAGCAUUUUUUGGUAGUACAAGUCUUGUGACGAGGAAGAAGAUGCUACUCCCUUGCCUUUGUCUGUAUUAGGUUGACCGGUUGGUCUCAUGCUUAAACAAAUAUAAAUUUAAUUUAAAACAGGUUUAGUUUUAGCUAUAAUCUACUUAAUUGGUCUGCUAAAUCAUUUUCUUUACCUUUUAUAUACUCAAAAAUAAUAUUUUUAUAGACUGAUAUGGUGUCAGUAGAGUUUAACCAUCUUCUUUUACUACUAGACUUGUCUUUAACUUGUUGACUAAACCCGACUACUAGCUUCACAGUCUGUCCUUACCAAAACUUCAUCUUUGUUUAAUAUAUUUAAUUUAAAACUGUUUAGGCCAUAUAUAAUGGCUAGUAGUUCUAAAUCUAUAGCACUCAUGUUUCCUUUUUCAUUGUAUAAGCCACUUUGAUAGGCGCAUAUUUGUUCUUCAUUUUUACUACUAUAUUUAUUAGGUCUUAUUUUUAAUACGGCUCCCCAUCCUAAUUUACUUCCGUCUAUCUGAACGAUUAAAUAAUCGGUUUCUAGUGGAAUUUUUAAGUCUGGAAUAUGUUUGACUCUUUCUUUAAUUUGUUGGACUAAUUUAAUGUCUUCAUUAUUAAAAUGUUUUUGACCUUUACUUCCAGUUUUAGCAUAUAAAGGUCCGGCUAUUUUACCUAAGUCCUGAAUGAAAUUUCUAGCGUAAUUUACUAAUCCUAGAAAUUUUUGUAAGUCUUUCGUAUUUUCUAAUUUGUCUGGCAUUUCUAAUACUUUCUUUGCUAUAUGUGGUUGGAGUUUAAUCUUUCCUUCUCCUAAGAUUACUCCUAGAAAAUUAAUAUAGGUUUUACAUAGUUCCAUUUUCUUUUUACUUAUUGUUAUUCCAUGUUUUACGAAUAACCUAAAGACUGUUUUUAAAUGUCCUAAAUGCUCCUGCAUAUUUUUACUAAAUACCAGAAUAUCAUCUACAUAGACUAAUACAAAUUUUUUAUAUUCCCCAAAAAAUAUUAUCCAUUUUUCUUUGAAAAAUGGGUGGAGCUAUCUUUAAACCAAAAGGCAUAACCAGCCAUUCAAAAUGUCCUCCUGAACAAGUGAAUGCUGUCCAUUCUACACUGUCCGGAUGUAUUUUUACCUGCCAAUAUCCUAAUUUACAAUCAAAUUUACUAUAUAUUCUUUUACCUUGGAUUCUAUUAAUUAAUUCACUUUUGUCUGAUAAUUUAUACGCAUCUGUUUUAGUAUUAUCAUUUAGUCUUUUGUAAUUUAUUAUCAUUCUUGCUUUUCCUCUUACCUAUUCUUUAUGAUUUCUUACCAUAAAUGUUGCCGACCUAUGUUUAGAAGUUGAUCUUCUUAUUACUUCUUGAGUUAAUAAUUCUUUAAUUUGUCUAUCAAAUUCUUCUGUAUCUUCAUUAUUAGCUUCUAUAGAUACUAUUUUUAUUGUAUAUUCUGUGUUACUGAUUUCUAAUUUACACGUUAUCUCAUUAGAAUUCCAAUGUGCUAAGGGUUUUUCUCCUAUUAUAUCUAUUUUAUCUAGAAUAUUUAUUACUUUAUCUAAAUCUUUAGGACUAUUUAUCAUGCCUAUUUUAUUUAUACCUUUUUGAAAAUUAUAAAACUGAGUUUCAACAUUUAUUAAUGUAUAGUGUUUUUCUAUUUCUUUUAUAUAUUCUAAUCCUUCUGCAUUAAUUAGUGUGUAAUUUUUUAAUUCUUCAAUGUUUUCCUUUAGCGUUUUAUUUUCUUUUAAUAGGUUACUAUUUUGGCAUUGAUUUUGACAUUUUUCAUUAUUUGAGCAGCCUUCACAACAUGGUUUAGAAACUAUUUCUUUUUUGUGUGUUCUUAGUGUUCUAUAUACUGUUGGUAAUUUUACUGUUUGUAUCGGAGUAUAUGUUAGAUUUUUAAAUAGUAUUAUUCCAUCUCUUGUUAAGAGACAUCCUCCUCUAUUUUGUAUGCAAAAAUACAAUCCUAUUACAAAGUUUGAACCUAUGUUUAAAUCUCUUGCUAAUAUUCUGUUAAUAUUGUAAGUUGACUUGUAGAAUUCAUUACAUGUGUUUAAGAAACUUAUUUGUGCAUUUUCUAUGUAAUAAUUAUAGAUAUUCUGCGAUCUGUCCAUUUGUGUAGUUGUUAUGGGUUUAUCAAAAGUCUUUAGUAAAUGUUUUGGUGCUAUUUCUUUAUUAAUUAUACAGAUGGUACAUCCUGGGUCUACUAGUGCUAGAGUUUCUAUCUCUAUAUUUUGGAUUCUAAUUUUCACUAAUACUUUUAUGGUAGAAAACUCUUUAUCUUCAUUACAUAUUAGGCUAGUGUCAUUAUCUUCUAUUGUCAUAAGUUCUGCUUCUAAAUUUUCUAAAUGUACAUUUUCUUGUGUAUCUUCUUGUAUAUUUAUUUCUUCUCUAGUUAUUUUAGCUUUUCCUUUUUCGAAGGUAGUUAGCCUUUGUUCUAGAUUAUUUACUCUGGCUUCUAGAGUUGCUACUCUUAAAUUUAGAAUUUGAUUAUUUGUGUAAUUUGGUUCUCUAUUUGGUUCUGAUUCUAUUUUUAUCUUUAGAGUGUUUUCUAUACAAUUUACACAGGCUUCUAAAUAACAUUUUCUACAUUUAGCUCUAUUUUCUUUGCUGGGGUACCAACUACAUAUACGACAUCUAUUACUGUGUAGACCUUUAUAUUUUUAAAAUUCAUGUACACAUUCUUGAGUGACAUUCAUUAAAUUAUUAAUUACUAGGUUAUUUAAAUCUAAAUCAUCUAGAUGAUCUAUUUCUUGUCCUAACUCAUUUACUAAAUUAUCUUCUUCUGAAUCCGAAGAGUUAGUUUUAGAAAUGUCUUCUACAUCAAAAAUUAUUAUUGAAUAUAUACUCUCUGUAUCUGACAUGUAUUCAUCUACAUUUAGUAAUGUUUCUUGAAAAUCUUCUAUUAAUUGAGAAUUUCUAGUUCUAUUGUUAUUUCUUUUAAGACAUACAUUGUCUAAAUGAUCUAUGCUUCCACAAGUAUAACAUUCUAAUUUGUUUUUAUAGUUUCCAUUAUUUCUAUAUUUUCUAACAUGUCUAUCUCUAUUUAGCCAUGGUUUUUUAGCUUUUGAUUUCUUAUGAAGUAUUGUUUACGACUAAAUGGUUUUUGGUUAUAUUUUUUCUUAUAUCUUUUAGAUUGUUUCUGAUUAUCAUAAUUUUGGGUUGUGUAUAUAAUUGAUUUAUAGAAAUUCAUUUCAUUUCUUUUUAGUUGUUUUUGUAUUUGUAUAUUCGUACAUUUUUUUGUUAGUAUAUCCAUUAUAUGUUGAGUUCUAUGUCCUAUGGUCCAUUUUACGUUUGGGCUAGCUACUACACCGUCUCUUUUAUACCAUCUUUCUUCUAUUUCUCUUCCUAAGGCUCCUGGUAGCUUAUUAAAUAGUUUUUUACCUAGUUCUUCAUUAAAAGUAUUUCCACUGACCGUGCAGUAAUAAAAAUAAUCUUGUAAAAUUUCUUGAUAUAUAUCCAAUGUGAGAUGCUAAGUUGUUCUAGUUUUAUUAAAACUUCUUUUUGUAAUGCUAAUAGUCCGCUAUUUGGAUCUUUUAUGGUUAGUAACAUAUGCAUUUUAUUUGUGAAGUUAUAGGGAUUGGACCCAUACUUAACAGAACCUGAAAGUCAUAUGGGCCGUUUGUUUUAAAACUUUCCCACGUAACUUUUGCCGAUUCUCCUAAAAAGGUUUCUAAGUAUUUGUACAUUGUUUUUGUAUCGGUUUCCGUAUAAUGUCUUAAAUAAUCUACUGCUACUAUUCCUUUCCGUAAAUCUAUUACUAUAUCCCACAUUUGUGGGUCAUGUGCUGCUAUAUUUAGUAUUUUACCUUUACUACCUCUUUCUUGUAGUUUAAUUGGUUCUUCUAUUGGCAUUCUCUUUCCUGGUCUUAUAUUAUCUCCUCUAAGUUCUGUAUCUGGAUUUAUCCUAACUGCUGGCCUCCUAGGUACAUUACCUGUACUAUAAUCUAUUGGUUGAGGAUUCGGGUUUGUCUGUUAGAAAGGGCUAGCACUUGUUGAACCAGUUGCUUCUAAUUCUGCUACUUCUUUAUAACUCAUUAUGGAACUUAGUAUGGAUUUUGUAUCAUCAUCUUUCUUUUCAGAAAUUAAUUUUUCGUUAUUUCUAUAUCCUAGGUUAUCACUUCUUUCUAAGCAGUUUUUGAAAUGUUCUAUACAUUCUUUUAUUUCCAUUUCAUUUUUCUGACAUCCUUUACAUUUAAAGGUUAUAUGUUUAUAUUCUUCUGCUAACAUUUGAGCUUUUUCUAUUACUAUAUCUACUUCGUAGACUUCUUGUAAAACUUCUAUAUUCAUAAAUUCUUGCUCUGUUUUUAUAGUACUUUCUGUUCCAGCGUCGUCUAAAUCUCUUCUAGUUGUAUAAUUAUAAUCUGUAAAUCUAACUGAAGUUUCUCCCUUACUUGUAGUAUAUAGUAAAUGAUAUUCUGGUGUAAGGAUUUUUGGUUUAUUAAAUUUGUUUAGAUUCUAUUCUAAACCUGCAUAUACCUCUGGGUCUAUUUUUAUUGGUUUUAUUAACCUUAUACCUUUACUUCCGAUGACUUCAACUACAUCAUUUACUUUUAAUUUAAAUUCAGUAUUACUACUUAAUGUUAAUUUUCCUAUAAAUCCUACACACAUUAAUAAAUUGUUACCACUAUUCAUUUCUUCAUACCCUUUGGUCUGAAUUCCUAUUUUAAUAUUUUUUUCAAAUUCUUUUAAGUUCAUUAGGAAAUCUGGACUUAUGUAGAAUAUUCCUCCAUUAUUUGUCAUAUCUACUUCAGUUAAUCCUAUUAUUGAUUUCUUAAUGUUUGACCAUCUGUCAUCGUAUAUUGUUAUUAGUACUUUAGAUCCUAGAUUUUUUCUAGUUAAUCCUUUUAUUCCUAUAAUAAUUAAUCCCAUAUGCAUUAGCAACAUUUUAUUUUUUUAUAUGUUUUAAAGAUUUAGAGUCUACUAAAUCUAAUAUUGUAAAAUUUUCUCCUAUAGCCGAUAUCAUUCUUCCCUAUAAUAUCUAUACAACUGAUUAUCUGUUGAAAAAUAUCUAGCAUUGUAUAAUGUCUUAGGGUUUAAUAGUUUUAACUGAUGUUGUUGAAAAAUUUGUAAGUCUUUAUCUAUAUCUAUUAUUUCAUUUAGUUCUUGAUUCUGUUAUGUAGUUGGUUGUCUUCUAAGUAUUCUAGAUACUAUAGUAUUAUUUCCUAUUCUAUUCUCAGAAAAACUUAUUCUUUGUCUUUCUUCUCCUUGUCUUUCGUUGUUUUCGAUGGUUCUCCGUCUAUUUGAUAGAAAAUCUAUUUUUGUGGUUUUCUAAUUAUAUUUCUUUUUUCUUGUCUAGAGGUUAGUUCAGUUCUUUUUAGUUGGUUAAUAAGUUCGUCUAUUUCAGUAUUUUUGGGUUCUUGAACCUCCUUACUUUUAAUUAAGAUAUCUAUCUUUUUAUGUAAGUCUAAUUAUAAUUCUAUUAUAGUAUUAUUUUGUUUUAACAAAAUUUUAUCUGUUAUACUUGAAGGUAUAUGCUUAGAUAAUCCUUCUGGUUCGCUAUGAUAGCUUUUUGGUUUUUCUAGUGCCUCACUAUAAUUUUUAUCUUCUUCACUCAUGAAAGUGAUAUUUCUUCUAAUCAUUGUAUUGUUAUUUUCAACUCUCUUAUUUCUUUAUUUAUUAACUCUACUUGCUCUACAAUUUUUGUUACUAGUUGAGUGGUUUUAAUUUCUAACUCUUUUGAUUUUUCUGCUAUAGUUUUUAUUAAUUUUUGUAUUUCUAUUUUUGUAGGUAUCUUUUCUAGAUUGGAUUUUUGAUUUAAAUACUGAAUUUUCCUGUCUAUUUCUAACUCUUGAGAUUUUAAAUAAUCUAAAUUUUCCUCUAUUUUUUCUAGUAUCUUUUUCUGUUUAUUUUGAGUAACUUCUACUUCUUCAAAAAUUCUUAUUAUAUUAUUAUCUUUUCCCUGAAUUUUCACUUAAAUUUAUUAUUAAAUCUAUUAUGGUAUUAUAUUGUUUAUCUUCUGAAUGUAAAAGGUGUUCUCCUUGGCUGAAAUUACACCUUAUAGUCGUAUUAUCUUUUAACACUCUGUAUUUCUUUACAGGUUGAAAUCUAAGAUCUAAAUAUUCAAGGCAUUUAAAUGAAGCUAUUUUGUUAUGCUAGAUGAUAAUAACUAAUUGUAUGUUUACUUAAUUUAUUAAAAUACCCUAAUCUAUUAUUAGAAUAUGUAAUAUCUAGUUCUACUUCUUCUAUAUUUUUUAUCAACCUUGUCUGUUCUCUAAUUAGUGAUUCUUUUAAUUUUUCUGAUGUUAUUUUAACUAUUUUAUCUAUUUCAGUAUCUAUAAGGACUAGAUUAUCAAUUUUUCUUAUUUCGUCUUUAAUCCAAAAUAAUGGUUCUUUAAAAUGCUUUAAUAAUUCUUUAAGCUGAUUUUUAUAAAUUAUUUCUUUGUAUAUCUGACGUCUGAUUUCUCUAAUAUGUAUAACGUAUUUAAGUGGCAUACCUUAUCCUAAUGGAAUUUUAUAUACUUGUUGUAAAUAGUAAUUUGUCCUAUAAUAAGAGUUUUCUAUUCUUAUGUUAUUGAAAUUUAAUUCUUCUUUAGAAAUUUUUAGCAGAGUUUUUAAAAUAUUUUAUAUCUACUUGUUCUAAAUUUUCUUGAGUUAUUUGACCUUGUAUUGUUUCUAUUUUUUCUUUUAAUAUUAUUUCCUUUUCUCUUAAUUUUGGAUCUAUGAUGAACUUCUUCUUCUAUCCACUUAUUUAAUCGUCUUACUCUUUGAAAAAUAGGUAGAUAUAUGCUUUUUUAUUAGGUAGAUCUUUCAUAUAUCAUCCUAAUUGAUAUGCUUUUUUAUUAAUUCGCUCCUUAAGCCACCGUAUUUUGUUAUUAUUAUUUUCUAAACCUCUAUCACAACCGUAUAAUUUCCAAUUUAAAGCACUUACUAGUUCUUCACUUACUUUUCUAGACGUAUUAUAAAGUUUAUAUAAUCUAUUUGCUUCUAUUAAUCUUUUUCUACUUUUUUCUAAAUUUAGUUUCCUAGUGAUGAUAAUAGCUCUUUUUUUAUAUUCUCUAUAUAAAUAGAAAUAACUACUCCUUAUAUCUUGGAAAACUUGAUGUCUUUUCAUACACCUGUCUAGAUUUAUAUUCUAGUGUUUUUUCUUCUAAGUUUAUAUGUGAGUAUUUAAUAAUGGUCAGGUUUACAAUUCCCAAAAAGUUAAUAAGCUCUGAUACCAAUAAUAUAGACACUUAGAUAAAAAGAUAUUUCAAUAAAAUAUAUUUUAGACCCUAAGAUAAAAAGAUAUUUCGAAAUAAUAUUUAUGUUUUUAGGUGAUUUUGUGCUGAUAAUUUAGAGGUUUUUAAAUAAAUAUGUUUUAAAUCCUACUCAAUACUCCCUCUUUCCUAUUGUUUCUUCGUGUUUUUAGUUCUUUUUAGCCUAUUUUUCCUCAUAUUUUAUUUAUUUUUUCUUUUUUUUAAUCUUACCCUGUUCAUCUCUUUCUCUUAGCCUAUGUUCUUAAUAACUUACUUCUUUAGCCACACUCCGAAACAUUCAUCUGGAAACUAACAACUGUAAUUUUUUUCUUUUUUAAAAGCUGAGAUUGUAAAUAUUUUUAUAUUAUUUUCAUGUUCGAGUGGAUAAAAAUUUUAGAAACUAUUUUCUUUAGGAAAAUAAAUUCUUUGAAAAUAAGAAAAAUGACUUUCUAAAUGAAAAGGAGAAAAUGAGUGACAUUAUCUGCUCGAAAUCCGUGAGCUACCACUCCUACCACACCUUCACCAAACUCCCACCUCCUACAUCCCCACUCAUCCUCAUAGUUUGUGUUAGAUAUAUAAAAUAUUUUUAGGAUAAUAUUUUUACUUGCAUAUCGAAUUUGAGAAAAUAAAUAACAACAACAACAACAAACCCAAUAUAUUCCCACUUAGUGGGAUCUGGGGAGGGUAAAAUGUACGUAGUCCAUACCACUACCCCCGAGAAAGUAGAGAGGUUGUUUCCGAUAGACCCCUGACUCAAGACAAAAGGACAAAGGACAAAGGACAAAGGACAAAAACAUCCAAAACAUCCAACAGGAAUAAAAAUAACACAACAAUAAAGUAUACAAACAGACAAUGGACCCCCCUCUCCCACCCCUAGACCUACCAACCAAGCUACACUGAACCCUCCUAACUACAGACUACGACUCAAGCACCCACAUUAGCCCUCCAUACUUUUCCUCCCUCCUAACUACGACCCCUCUCCCCCACCACUAAUGCUUUUCCUCCAUAUUUUCCUAACAAGGGUCAUGCCCACCCCUAUCCCCCACCCCGUAAACAUGCCCUCCAUCUUUACUAAAAUUUGGAAAUAACUCAUAUUGUUUUUGUAAAGCAGAAGGGAAAAAAAGAUUUCCAAGCAGAUAAUUGAAGGUAUAGAUGAGGGGAAAAAGGUGAUCACAUUCAAAGAAUUUGAAGGAGAUUUAGUGGAUAAAUAUGAUAACUGGAAGACAACUCUUCAUAUCGAGCAAAAAGGUGAAAUCGAUUUGGUAUGCUGGACAAUGGAGUAUGAAAGGCCAAAUGAGAAUGCUCCUGAACUAAUAAAUUUGCUUGACUUCAUUAUUGGUAUGACCAAAGCUAUUGAUGAUCACCAUGUUAAGAUGAAUUAUGGGAUAUAUGUAUGUGUCAUCAUGAGAUUUAUAUAAAUAAAUUUAGUUAAUGCUAGGUGUGUGCUUGGAAUACCUCAUGUUGUGUUGUUUCAGCAGAUGGUAUGAAAUAUUCCAUGUUGGAAGGUGUGGAGGAUGGGGAUUAGGUUAGAUGGUUAGGGGGUGGGAGGGUGUCGGUGAUAGCAGGGGAGUGUUCUAUAUUUGUGGCUAGCGUUGUUAGUUUAUUUUGUAUAUUGUACAAGUUUAUAUGCAUUCAUGUAUGUCUGUUAUAUUGUUAUUGAUUCUAAGAUGGGGGUCUAUCGAAAACAACCUCUCUACUUUACCUGAGAAUCUGAGAUAGUGAUAUGGACUGCGUACACUCUAUCCUCUCCAGACCCUACUAGGUAGGAAUACACUAGGUAUGUUGUUGUUGGAUGUUUAAGUUCUUUUUGGUUUUUACUUUUAGGGAUUGAUGUUUGUUGUGUCUUCCCAUGUAAACUGUCACGACCCGAACUAGGGCCUGGCUGUGACGGACAUCUCAAACCAUGAAGGCCCGAAAUGCCUUUCUCUAUCUGGUAAUCAUGCACAAUAUUCAUAUGAUAAAAGAAGAUGCGGAAACAUAAUCUUCUACGGAAGCAUAGUCAAUUCUGAAAUCAAUAUAAGUAUGGAAAGUAUAAAUCAACUACAUCUGAAUAAAAUUUGACUGAGUCAGCGAAAUCUCUACCACAUGAAAAUCUGACAACUGUCUGAAACUGGAACAAGGCCCCCAGUAGAUCAAAACGGAAAUAAGUGACAUAAUCUGAAAAGAGAGGCCUUCUGAAAUAGAGAAGGCUCACCAUUUGGACACUGCAACUCUGUUUGAUAAAAAUCUACUGCUUUUCUGGACCCCUAUACUGAGCCUCAGAACUUGGAGGGAGGAGGGGGGUCAAUACAAAUGUACUGGUACGCAAACAAAUCCAAAAUAAAGCUUUCAUAUAAAUAAAAUAGCUGGAGAGUAAUUUGUCAAAAUGUAAUACGUGAAAUAGUUCUAAAACACAUGGGAACUUUCUAAAAAUCAUAAAUCAUUCUUGUCAAUGCAAUAUCUGAUCUUUGUAUUACUUCUGAGUUAGGAGGCAUUCCCCUACAAGUCUGAUAUUCCAUGGGCUAUAUGAAAUUCAUCAUUGACUCGGCGGGGAAGCCCCCAGCCCGAGUAUGCUGUAAGGGUUGGAGUGUCUGAGUCUGAUACGCCACAAGGCUCUAGGCCAGCGUAAUAUAAUAAACCCAGAUCAACAAAUCACGAUUUUGGGCAAUGAGUUGUCUGAACCCAUGCCUUCUUCGAGGAACUACCUAAGCUCUCUUUGUGCCCAUUUUUAUCCUGUUUUGAAUCAUGCAUUUUUUCUAGUUUCAAUAUUUGAAAAGUUUGAUUUCAAACAUGCAUUCUAUUCUGUUCUGAAUUCUAUCAUGGUAUAAUCAGAAUAGGUGUCUUCACACCAAGACUUGCAAGUCCUAUUUCUGAGCCAUAUUGCAUCAUGCAUAAUUCUUUCAUUAAAACACAAUUCAGAAAGCCCAAACAUGCAAGCAGUAUAAAAGAUUUCAUGUUCCGAAAACACCAGUCAAAACUAUGCUGAGAUCAUUCAAACAUGUGGUGGUCAUGCAUUCUUUUGGCAAAUCAUGCUACUCUUUGUUAUAUGCAUAUUCAACAUUCAUCACAUGCAUAACCCUAUCCUUUUAUUUUCGAAAUCAUAGUCAAGUCAUAACAUAAGUCAAGACAUUUGAUAUCAUGCUUUCAAGAUGCAACUUAGAACAAUUCAUAGUAUAUCAUAAGUAAAUAAAAAUCAUCACAAGAGAGGGAUUUUUCAUGAAUGAUGCUCUCAAUUCAAUCAUCAAUCUUAAAACACAUGAUUAUAUAUAUAUAUAAUUUCAAAUCAAUUUGGGGAAGGCCUAAAGACCAAAACAAUAGCAUUAACGCUUCUAAAACAUGAAUAUAUUCAUAAAUCCAAAACCCUUUUCUUAAAGCAUGAUUUCUAUACCCAUGAGAUUUUAGGAAUACCCCACGUACCUUAACCUCGAAAGAUAAUAGGUAAUUCUUGAAUCUUGCGGAUUGGGGAUUCCAAAUCUUCACUCACUUUUGAAAACUCACGGUUGAAUCUUAAGUUAUUUGGGUUUCUAGUUUGAAACCCUUGGGAGUGUUCUUGCUGAUUUUUGGGAAAAAUAUCAAUGAUAUGGGUAUUUGGGAGCUUAAUCCCGUGUUAGAGGUGAUAAGGGAUUGGAGAAGUACCAUUUUACCCUUAAUAAGACGGAACAGGGUGCUGAAAAUUGGGCGGGUGCGAUACUCAGGGCGGUGCCUUGCCGAGAGCACCGGAGUACCCUAGGCGUCGCCCGCCUUAGAGCAGUGGGGUUGCCCGGGAGGCGCCUGCCUUAGAGUGAGGGAGAACCCCGAGCGGCGCCCCCUUAUCUCUUGGAGCUACUGGAAUGGAAUACCAAACAUGCCCUUAGGCUCAUCUAAAAAUUUUGAAACUCACUCGAGAUGUACUACGACCUUUCCCCAUUGCAACGCAACAAGAAAAUCUAAAAUCGGAGGUCGGGAGGAUUGAAAAUAAAAUCUCCGAUGAUUAAGAGCUAAAAAAUGAGACUAAGUCUUUUGACACUUAGAAUAUUUUCAAGUUUCCAAGGCAAAGAGUAUACUACUAAGGGCUAGCACGUGCACGCAUUUUUACGGGGCGUUAUAUUAUCCCCCCUUGGGAUCAUUCGUCCCCUAAUGAUGAUGCGGAAAUACAGCCAAGCACGAUUUUAAGCAUACUAAGAUAUAGAAGAAUAAGAAAAAGAUUCGUACCUUCCGUUUCAUCAUUCAACGGAUCAAAUAAGUUUGGGUAUCUAACUCGCAUGUCCUCUUUGGAUUCCCAAGGAGCCUCUUCAACUUUCUGAUUCCUCCAUAACACUUUAAUUGAGGCUAUCUCUCUUUUCCUUAAUUACCGAACUUGAUGAUCUAAGAUUUCUACUGGUUCUUCUUCAUAGGAUAAGGAGUCUGUCACUUUGAUUUCUUCAACAGGCAAUACUAAUGAAUGGUCCCCAAUACUCUUUUUCAACAUGGAUAUGUGAAAUACCGGGUGAACAGAACCCAAACUAGCAGGCAACUCUAACUCAUACGCAACUGCACCUAUUCUUCUCAAGAUUUGAUAGGGUCCUAUAUAGCGACGACUCAACUUACCUUUUUUCCCGAAUCGCAUGACUCCCUUUAUAGGAGACAUUUUUAGGAAUACCCAAUCUCCAACCUCAAACUCUAAAUCUCUUCAUCUAACAUCGGCGUAAGAUUUCUGACGACUCUGAGUUGUCUUAAGUCAUUCCCUAAUAAGUUUCACGUCUUCCAUCGCCUGAUGAACAAGAUCAGGCCCAAACCAUACCACCCUAUUGGAGACCUACAUCUUCUCCCAUACAAUGUCUGAAAUGGUGCCAUCUUAAUACUAGAAUGGAAACUGUUAUUAUAUACGAACUCUAUCAAUGACAAGUGCUCUACCCAACUACCUUUAAAAUUAAUCACACGGGCCCUCAACAUGUCCUCAAGGGUCUGAAUGGUGCUCUCAGCCAGCCCAUCAGUCGGAGGGUGAAAAGCAGUGCUUAGGUUCACUUGGGUACCUAAACUUUUCUGAAAAGAUCUCCAAAACUGAGAAGAAAACUGUGUACCUCGGUCGGAUAUGAUGGACAAAGGUGCCCCAUGCAACCGAACUAUUUCAGCAAUGAAUAGCUUAGCAUAAUCCUCUCCUGAAUAGUUAGUCUUGACAGGCAAAAGGUGGGCUGACUUGGUCAGCCUAUCUACAAUCACCCAAAUAGAAUCGUACUGGUUUCGGGACUUCGGGAGUCCUGUAAUGAAAUCCAUAUUAAUCAUCUCCCACUUUCAUAAGGGUAAAGUUAUCUCUUAGGAAGAACCGCGGCCUUAUAUGCUCUACUUUAACUUGUUGGCAGUUCAAACACUUGGAAACAAAGUCAACCACAUCACAUUUCAUAUUAUUCCACCAAUACAUAGGUUGCAGAUCAUGGUACACCUUAGUAGAGCCUGGGUGAACAACAUACCUCGAAGUGUGAGCUUCGUCAAGGAUUCUCUUCUGCAACCCAUCAACAUCAGGUAUACAUACUUUACCCUGAUACCUCAAAAUACCAUCACCACCAAUUUCGAAGGACAUCACCUUCUGUUGACCCACAUAUUUCUUAAUCUGCAUCAAGAUGGGAUUUUCAACCUGCUUCUCCUUAACUUCUGCACAAAGGGAAUACUUAGCUAUCUCAUGAACAACCAUUCCCCCAUCUUCGGAAUCCAAGAGUCGCACUCCUAGAUUUGCAAGCCGGUGAAUAUCUUUCACGAUCUCUCUCUUCCCUUUCUCAACAUGAGAAAGAAUGCCCAUGGAUAACCUACUGAGGGUAUCGGCUACUACAUUUACCUUGCCUGGACGAUAGUGCAUGCUCAUGUCGUAAUCCUUUAGCAAUUCCGUCUAGCGCCUCUGCCUGAGGUUCAAUUCUUUCUGCGAGAAAACAUACUGCAAACUUUUGUGGUCAGUAAAUAUAUCAACAUGUACCACGUACAAAUAGUGCCACCAGAUCUUAAGUGGAAAAACCACAACCGCUAACUCCAAGUCAUGAGUGGGGUAGUUUCGCUCGUGCAGCUUCAACUAUCGAGAUACAUAAGCUACUACCUUACCAUGCUGCACAACCAAGUCCCACUCGGGACGCAUCACAAUACACAACAAAACCCUCUGUACCAUCCAAAAAAGUCAAAACAGGAGCAGUAGUCAACUUUUCUUUGAACUUCUCAAAACUAUUCUCACAACAGUCAAACCACAAUAACUUUACCUUUUUCUGAGUCAACUUAGUAGGCGGUGCAGCUAUGGAAGAGAAACUCUCUACGAACCUUCUGUUAUAACCCACCAAACCCAAGAAGCUCCGAAUGUCGGUUGGAGUCGUGGGUCUGGGCCAUUUUCUCACUGCCUCAACCUUUUGGGGAUUAACCUGAAUCCCCUCACUAGACAUAAUAUGCCCCAAGAAGGCAAUAACAUUCAUCCAAAAUUCACACUUGGAGAAUUUUGCAUACAACUCAUGAUCUUUGAGAGUCUGGAGAAUAAUUCAGAGGUGAUUGACAUGGUCCUCCUCACUUUUAGAGUAAAUCAAGAUGUCAUCAAUAAAAACUAUGACAAAAAGGUAUAGGAACUGACGGAAGACCCUAUUCAUUAGGUCCAUGAAAGCUGCAGGAGCAUUAGUCAACCCGAAGGACAUGACUAAGAAUUCAUAAUGACCAUAUCUGGUUCGGAAAGCUAUUUUAGGAAUGUCGAACACCCUAACUUUCAACUGAUGAUAUAUCGAACGAAGGUCUAUUUUAGAAAAGCACUUAGCACCCUGAAGUUGGUCAAAGAGGUCAUCAAUCUUAGGAAGAGGAUAUUUAUUUUUAACAGUGACCUUAUUCAGCUGACGGUAAUCUAUGCACAUACGCAGGGAAACAUAUUUCUUUCGCACGAAGAGUACAGGUGCACCCCAGGGAGAAACACUAGGUCUGAUAAAACCUUUAUCUAGGAGAUCUGCUAGCUGUUCUUUCAACUCUUUUAACUCUGCAGGAGCCAUUCUAUAUGGUGGAAUAGAAAUAGGUCGAAUAUCUGGAAACACAUCAAUGCCAAAAUCUAUCUCCCUAUCAGGUGGAAUUCCUGGGAUAUCAUCUGGAAAAACUUCUGGGAAUUCAUUUACCACUGGGACAGACUGAAGAGGAAAACUUUCAGCGUUAUAAUCUCUAACCCGAAUAAGAUGGUACAAGCAACCCUUGGAAAUAAGCUUAUAGUCUCUAAGAUAAGAUAUGAAGUGCCCUCUAGGUGCUAAAGAAUGCCCUUCCCACUUUAUUGUUGGCUCAUUCGGAAAAGAAAAAGUAACCUUUUGGGUUCUACAGUCUAGUGUGGCAUAACAUGAAUAGAGCAAGUCCAUCCCUAGGAUAGCAUCAAAAUCAACUAUAUCAAGCUCUAAGAGAUUGGCCACAAUAUCCCGGCUAAGAAUAGACACAACACAAUUUUUAUACACUCUCCUAGCCACAAUGGAAUCACCCACCGGAGUGGAAAUAGAGAAAGGUUCAGCAAUCACAUCGGGUUCAAAUCCAAAACCAACAGCCACAUAUGGGGUCACAUAAGAUAAGGCAGACCCGGGAUCAAGCAACACAUAUACAUCACGGGAAAAGAUUCUUAACGUAUCGGUGACCACGUAUAGCAAGGAUUCCGCCUCCUGGAAAUUAGUCAAAGCAUACAACUGGUUGUGAUUGCUCCCGGCAGCUGGUUCCCUUUUGAGGUGGUGGUGGUGCAGAAGAGUUUGCCUGAAACUUAGCUCCACCAAAAUUCCUCCUAGCAGAGGGACAAUCUCUCUAGAAAUGACUUAUCUGGCCGCAUGAAUAACACACCAGCGAGCCCAGCUGACACCAUCCUAGAUGAUGCCCUACCACAACUCUCUCACCAUGGAAAAGUACGAUGUUGUUGCACCAAACUACCCUGCGACUGAGUAUCCUGAGCUCUGGGUUCGUGACUAGUCUGAAAACUAUAAGGGCGUCUAUCAACUGAGGUCAGGGCACUGGGGCACUAGUUGCAGACUGUGCGUUACUCCAAAACUUCUUUUUUUUCCAUUUUUACCCCAAUUACCGCUCUGCUGCUGACUGGGGUUCUAAUCCGCUGUUCUGGCCCUCUUCGCCUGCCUGUUUCUCUCUCUAGAUUCAGAAAUUUUCUUUUUCUUCUCUUUUACCUGCUGCAUGUGGACUGACUACCUAGCAAAGUCCAUUUUCCUAUUUAGCAUCGCCCUUUGACAUUCAAGUGCUAGGUCAUCGAAAAGGCCGGAUGCAAAUUUCCUCAUCCGGGCUCUCAUAUUUCCUGUCACUUCUGGUGCAUACCGAGCCAGUUGGUUAAACUUCAAAGUGUACUCUCAGACACUCAUCUUCCCCUGCUUAAGAUUCAUUAUUUAUAUAUAUUUUAGGGUGGUGAGAGAAAGUGCAAAAUAAGGAUUGAUUUCGCAUAAGGGAAAGGUACGAUAAAUACAUCUAAUGAAAGUUAUUAGCAACAAUAAAUAUCCAUUUUAACAAAGAGUGCUAAAACUUUUACUGACAUUAAUUAAUUGACAUUGGAUCUAAUGUCUCUAUAGACUUUAGGACAUUUAUAAAGAGUGCUAAACUGCAAUCGUUUGUAAUAAUAUUGCCUCUAAAACAGUAUUAAGGGGUAAUUAAGUUAUUGCCUUAAAUAUCUUUUUUGUACUGAAAAGGAUAUUUGUUACUAUUUAUUUUCUAUGAUAAUUAUAUUUAUUGUAACGCCUCGAAAUCUAAUCCCGAAACGUCACACGGUGCGGUAUGAACUGCAUACAUCUUACUCUCUCCAAACCCCACUUUGUGGAAAUACACUGGAUUUGUUGUCGUCGUAGGUUGUUACAAGUAUCCUGACAUUUCAUAUUGCAAGAAGUGGUUGAAACAUUAUUGCAUAUGGAGCCACUUCUAACUAAAAGUUGUUGAAACAUAAUUGCACGGUAACACUUGUUGAAGUGCAUGAAAAAUGAAUUUUAUGUCCCUUUUCUCGACGAAUAUAAUAUAAUAUUGCUUUAUAAUUUUUGAGAAAAAAAAACAGUAAGGGACAUUAUUAUGAUGUUCUACCAAUAACAACAACAACAAAUAUAGUGUGUUCCCACAAAGUGGAGUCUGGAAAAGGUAAAAUAUACGCAGUUCAUAUCGCUACCUCCAAAGAAGUAAAAAGGUUGUUUCCGAUAGAACCUUGGCUCAAAAUAAAGAAUAGUAAAUAAGGUCGUAAUGAAAUAAGAAGCAGGAUGGAUGACAUAACAGAAAUAUGAAAUAAAAAUAACAAAACUUGAAAUUAGAGAAAUACGAAAUAAGAGAAAUUAGAGCACCACGAAAUAAGGACUAAGAAAUAGGACAUCCAUCAAGUAGGAACAUACACACACAGACCAGAGAUUACUAACACGGCUACACAAGAUCUCACCUAACUACUUGCUACAACCCACACACUCAUACUGGCCUUCUACCCUUAUCCGCGCACUCCACACCUUCCUAUCUAGGGUCAUGUCCUUAGUAAGUUGUAGCUACUUCAUGUCAUGUCGAAUUACCUCCCUCUAGUAUUUCUUCGGCCUACCUCUACUCCUUAUGAAACCAUCCAAAGCUAGCCUCUCACACCUAUGAACUGGGGCUUCCAUGCCGCUCCUCAUCACAUGCCCAAACCAUCUCAAUCUUCCUUCCCGCAUCUUAUCCUCCGCCGAAGUCACUCCCACCUUCUCUUGGAUAAUCUCAUUCCUAACUCGAUCUCCUCUAGUAAGUCCAUACAUCCAACGCCGUAUUCUUAUUUCUGCCACCUUCAAUUUUUGAAUGUAAAAAUUCUUGACUAGCCAACACUCCGCUCCAUACAACAUGGUCGGAUGUGUUUCAUACAACGAAUAUUGCUAUAUAAUUUUUUGAAAAAAAUAAACCAGUAAGGGACAUGAUUAUGAUGUUCAACCAGCUUUGAUUAAAAAAAGGAAAAAAUAAACACUCACCCUUCUCACUUCUAGUCUAUAUAUAUUGUUGAAUAAACAUUGUAAAGUAUCAACACUUGUCCUCUUCAAUAAAUUUUCUUUUCAAAGUCUUUUGUAGAAUGGGUCUAAAGUCUGUGUGUAUGCCAAAAUAGAAGUGAAAGCUAAUAAAGAUGUGUUUCAUGAUGUUUUUACACAUAAGCCACACCACAUCUCUACUAUGUGCCCUUUGCAUAUACAAGGUUGUGAGCUUAUUCAUGGUGUCUUUGGAACUGUUGGCUCCAAACUUUUUUGGACCUAUAACCUUGGUAAGCCUAAAAUAUUUAAAAUUUCCUUAAAAUGAAAAAAAAAUUCAGGAGAUAACGGUAUGAAUUGCGUACAUUUUACCCUCUCCAGACCUCACCUCACUUUGUGGGAAUACACUCGAUUUGUUGUUGUUGUUGAAAAUAAAAAAAAAAAUUGUCCAAGUGGGGUCUUACUAUUUAUGAAAUCAUUUUCCUUAAACUAUGUUAGCUUCACACUACUUGCUCCAC
rnacentral:lncRNA from 1 species